ACUUAAUUGCUGGAGUACUCCCGGCUGAAAUUCUGGCCAGAUGUGAGUUUUUGGAGCCAUUAUCUGAAGCUACUUUGUCAGAUUAUGAGUGGCUGGUUGUUAAUCUGCAAAAACCUGCUCCUGUCUUGAUGAAAAGGGUGCAACAUUACUUGUCAUCAUUAAUCUAAAGCUUUCUAGCAAGAGCUACAUUGAAAAGUUAAUGGCGCUGCAUGCCAGUCAUUAUAAUGCUGUCAGGGCAAUUGGGUCAGGGCAAUUAGGUCUGAGCAUAACUUCAUUAGGAAAAGAGGCUUCAGCUACGUUAAAUAUUGCAGGAUGUACUGAGAUGGCUGAAGUUCUUAAGGUUUUAUGAGAAACGAAAGAUGAGUGUUUGUUUGAACAAAGUUGUUGCCAAUCUUGCAGAGUUUGGAAAGAAAGAUCACGGAGCGAAUGCCACCGAUUUCUUCAUCAUUUUAGCCUCCAUAGUUGAAGUUUCCUCAUUUGAAGCUGUUUAUGCAUACGAUUUUUCCCUGCUCUAGUACAGGAAAUUGAAGAAUUAACCAGAUGUGAUAUGCUGAAAGAGGGAAGUUUUCUUCCUUGAAUGUGGCCUUUGUGAUUUGUCUUGAAGGAAUAGGAUGAUCACUGGCAAGAACCCUAUCAAGGUAGAUUUUAUGGUGUUAACAUAUUAUUAAGCAUUUUGUUACAUUAGCAAUGAUGCUUUCAUAGCAUGAAAGUGUUUAAAUUUAACUGAUUGAUCUUGAUUGAUCAAUUAUGAGUUUUAAUCGAGUAAAAACUAAAUACAAUAAUCGUCAACAAAUAUUGAAAUUGGGUAAAUAUGAUCUUGAUAUUGAAGAAUUUGAAAUCACAACCCACACAGGAAAUCACCCUUCGCGUGGGGAUGGAGAUGUUUACUGCAGCGAUAUUGAAUAUGUCCACUGCUCUUUGGGUUAUGGUGCGACUUGCCCUGAAACAAUGGAAAAGAUUAACAUACCCUCCAAUGAAUGAAAACGGGUGGACUAAUUCUGAUUACCUAAUUGACUCAGGAUCGGCUGGCAAUAAUAACAGUUUAUUAACAAUGCACAGUCCGAGUACCUUUCCAGUAACAGUUUAUUAACAAUGCACAGUCCGAGUACCUUUCCAGGAUCAGAUACGACGUGGUCUAAUGUUGAUUUCAGAAAUAAAAUACAUUCUGAGAGAUGCUGGUCUACUAUUGCAAGCCCCCAGAUUUAAGAAUCUUUUGAUGAUAAUUUAAUUGAUAUGGACAGUUUCCAUAUCACUUUUAAAUCAUCUUAUGUAAUUGUGAUGUUAGGAAGCAUUAGUGACCUAUAUGUGAAUUAUUAUUAGCGACAUUAGUGGUUUUAUCUUGUUAAAAUAUGGAUGACUUCUAGUUAUUAUUUUAUUGUAGACAAUCUUAUUCAAUUAACAUAUAGUUUAAAACCAUUAUGUAAAUUAAUCUAUUAAUUUUCAUGAUAUUUAAUUGAGUUAAAACUAAGUGCAAUCAAUAAAUCUCUUUUGCUUUAAAAAACUGCUACCUUUUGAGUUUAGUGCUUAAUAUUUAUUGAACUCUGAUGCAGGGUAUUUGAAAUCAAACUCGUAAUACAGAUUAUCUAAUUGCGAGUUGCUGUCCAUAGCUGCUAAUUUGUAGUGAUUAUCUAAUUGAUUGAGGUGACAAUAAUUCUUUUAUUUCAAUAGCACAAUGUGGAAUUCAAUAAUUAAAUUCAUGAUAUUUAACUGAGUUAAAACUAAGUGCAUUCAAUAAAUCUCUCUUCCUUUAAAAAACUGUUGCGCUUUAAUUUUAGUGCUUAAUACUUACUAAACUCCGAUACAGGGAAUUUGAAUUCAAACUCGUAACUACAGAUUAUCUAAUUGCAAGUUUCUGUCCAUAGCUGCUGAUUUGUAGUGAUUAUCUAAUUGACAUAGGCCACGACAACUUUUUUUUUUUUUAAUUUUCAAUAGCACAACGUGGAAUUCAAUAAUUAAAUUCUCCUUUUUAAUUUGUUUCAAGUUAAAUUAUUAAUUACUUAAACUCUGUUUUAAGUCUUUAAUUUUAUGUGUUUAUGCAGAAUUGGAUUCUUUAGCGUGUUGGACACGACCAACAAUGAAAUUGACAGUAAACAAACAUUACAACGCGUUGAGUGUCGACUCCGGUAGCUGCCCUACAAGUCUACAACUUUACAAAAAAUAAUUGAGUACACACAUUUGAUUCUCGGGACCCAAAUUUCUAGCCCCGUUGACUCCACCGACAAAAGUUUUGGAAAAUUAAAAAAAAAAUUCAUAGAAUUCCACCAAAUGCAAAACGCGUGGAAUUUAAUUUUCGGCCGUGUGGACCAAAACAUAAUUUAAUAAAAAAAAAGAUAAAAUUUCUAAAAUGUGUGGAAGGUGAUCCAUAUUUUAUUGAAACAACUUAAAUUUAUUAAGGAUUUAAAAUAUUUGGUCAUAAAUUACGCUCAUGUUAAUUUUUCCGCUAUUGACUAUCAUAUUCUAGACACAAUGAAAUUGACAGUAAAGAAACAUUACAACGUGUCGACUCUGGUAGCUGACCUACAAGUCUACAACUUCACAAAUAAUAAUUGAGUAAGCACCUUUGAUUCUCGGGACCCUUCAAUGAAUUGCUAGCCCCGUUGACUCCACCGACAAAAGUUUUGUAAAAUAAAAAUAAUAUAUAGAAUUCCACCAAAUGCAAAACGCGUGGAAUUUAAUUUUCGGCCGUGUGGACCAAAACAUAAUUUAAUGAAAAAAGAAAAAAAAUGAUAAGAUUUCUAAAAUGUGUGGAAUGUGAUUCAUAUUUUACUGAAACGAUUUGUUAAAUUUUUCAAAGAUUUAGAAUAUUUGGUCAUAAAUUAGGCGCAUGUUAAAUUAGGAGCAUGUUAAUUUUUCCACCAUUGACUAUCAUAUUCUAAACUUAAUGAUACAUUUCUUUAUGAAGAGUACUUAGUCUCUCUUCUUCUCUUAUAAAAAUUAUAUUAAUUGAUUUCUUAUUAUAAUAAAUAGUCUUUAAGAACGUAUAGAUUUAUUGUUUUCGUGACCAAAUUAUGCCUGCCUAAGUUUGUGACUAUUAACAAAAUUAAUAUUUAAUGUUUAUGUUAAAAGAUAUAAGAUUUUAUGCAUUCAUUAAUUGUUAUUAGCUAAAGGAUUAAUUAUUUUUUCAACCCAAUCUGUUGAUGCAUCUGCAAGAGUUUUUUCUUUUAUUGACCAUAAUUAUAUUCCGGGUACAAUAAAUUGUCUUUGGUGAUUGGAAAAUAUGACUUCUUACUUCAAGUUUAAUAUGUCUCUCUCCAUAAGCUUACUGGAAAUAUAUCCUCAUCUACUGUCAUUUAUCUAAUAUCAAUUGAAGAUCUCACUUUUUCAAACUAUCACUUCCAAGUCGCAUUGUCACUUGGCCAUUCUUGGACCAUUCAAAACCAAUCAAGUGUUGAAAUAAUCAAAUAUAUGCAAAAUUAGAGUCACGAUUUUUGCUCCCUCAAAUUCUAAUUAUACAACUUCUAUAUAUCUCAUUGUCAGGUCACGAACUUGUUGGCACAUUUUCCAAAUUCCUAUUCCAACUUAAGUGGAAAGUUUCCAAGUUCAUUGCUAGAAAACAACACAAAAACUAGACACACUUAGUUUGUCUAAUAAUUCUCUUUCGGUAAAAUUAAUUAAUUUCAGGGGAAUAUUCUGCCAACCUCUGUAAUUUCAGAGUGAUCAUUAAUUAAUUAAACGAUACAAAUAUCUAAAGUAAUUAGAUGUUUGCUGACAAUACAAGUUCAUGACUUGAAAUUUGAUCUCUAUCGAUUGGUUCACAAAUAGACGUACGUGUGCCUUUGUGGCGAUAAUCGAACAAGUUCCCAAGAUUAUUAUUUUUUCCAAAAACUUUUUUACAACAAAUUCAUCUCGCCAAAAAUUAUAUUUUGCUAACUAACAAUAAUUGAGCACUUGACCGCAUUGACUCCACGUCUCCACCUCUUUCUAAAUUCUAAGUAAAAACAUGGAGAUGUAACCUCCACAAAAUGCCAAACGGGUGGAAUUUAAUUUUUUUGCCUUGUGGAUCAAAAUACAAAUGAAAGAAACAGGAGAAAAAAAAGGCCCAAAGACUUCUAAAAGAUGAAGAAGUCUUUGGGCCUUUUUAUAAUGGUGAAUUUUUUAAAAGAAAAAAAAUAACAACAUUUUUAUGGUUUGUUUUGAUAAUCAUAUUUACAUAUACUCUCUAAUUUUCAAAAUGGACACAUAAAUUUUUUUUUUUUACAAAUAUAUAUUAUUCAUAUUUUUUUAUUAUCAUAUUUUUAUUUAGAGCAAAUUUUUAGGUUGAAAUAUAAUAAAAAGGUAUAAUUGUUCUCUUAUUAAACACACAUACUUUUAUUAGUUUUAUUAGUUUCUAUCCAUUUGUCAUCUCAAUUAUUCUUUAAUGCUAGCUCAAAACACGUUGCUGGUGCAAAUUAUAGCAAAAUGACAAAUAUGGAAAAAAAGGGAAGAAAAUUAAUGCAUGAAAGACUUGGAGAAAACAACAAAAUAAGCCAACUAUGAGUUAGUUGGGUGUAUAAAUUGUUAGAUGUGUUAUAUACAAAUAGCGUAGAGCCCUCUAGUUGGUUCCAAAGACAGAAAGAGCGUGUGUGUUUUUUCACAGUUAGAGAUAUAGUUAGAAUGGGUGGUUCAAAAUCAAAAAUGAUGAUAAUGUUUAUUAUGUUAUUAAUAAUAUUUAAAAGUGGGUGGAGUGAGGGAUGUUUGGAUCACGAGAGAUUUGCUUUUUUGAGACUCAAACAUUUCUUCAAUGAUCCUCUUAAUUCUCUUUACGACUGGGUAGAUGGUGAGGGAGCUACUGAUUGUUGUCAGUGGGAAACGGUUGAGUGCAGCAACACCACAAGUCGAGUGAUAGCGCUAGACCUUUCUUACAGGUAUGGGGGAGAGUACAGUUGGUAUCUGAAUGCUUCUUUGUUUACUCCCUUCCAACAACUUGAGUCACUUGAUUUAACUCGCAACAACAUAGCCGGUUGUGUUGAGAAUGAAGGUGCUUCGUUUAAUUUAAUUAAUUUACUUCUUCUCUCCUAAUUUAAGUGGAAUAUCAAGACUGAGCAACUAUAUGCAUAUUCAUUCAGUUGACAAUUUUGACAUAUUUUUUUAAGUGAUUAAUUAAUUUUGAAAUACACUAGUAUCUAUGAUCUUUUUUUUUUAUUAUUUGGCUUGCAGGUCUAGAGAGGCUAUCAAGAUUGAACAACUUGAAGAUGCUUAAUUUAAGUGGAAACUCAUUCAAUAAUAGCAUUUUAUCAUCUCUAACUCAUCUUUCAUCAUUAAGAUCAUUAAAUUUAUUGUGGAAUAGAUUGGAAGGAAGUAUUGACGUUAAAGGUACAUAAUUAAAACUUCAAGCUCUUUCAUUAACUUGCUAAAAUAAGAUUCAAGGCUUUGAAUUCAAUUUUUUUAUGAUUAAUAUUAAAAAAACAGUUUUAAGCAAUUUAUAAAAACAAGUUUUAAUGUUUCUUGUAAUUUCAUCUUGUACUUUCAUAUGUCUUGAAUUUACAAUUAACAAAAAGACUCUAAUAGCGAACCAAACACCUCCACAACUUCUUAUUAUUUGUGGUGAGGUUUGAAACAUUCAACUCAAUUUGUACUUAUUACAAAAUUUGAUUCUUUGAGAGAUUUAGAGGAACUAGACAGUGGCGGGAUCAAGAUUGACAAAUUUGUGGUCUCAUAAGGUACUACAAUUUACCAUAAAAAAAAUUUGCUACCUUUUACAAUUUAGUUUAGAUUCUUUGCCCUUUGGUUUAUUAUUUUUACAGGUUUUGAAAAAAGUUGAAAUCCUCCUCGGUUUAAGUGGUAUCAAACUCAAUCGUAGCAUCUUAUCUUCUCUGACUGUCUUUUCUUCGUUAAGAGAAUUACAUCUACGUGAUACGGGAUUCAAAGGAACAUUCGAUGUUCGAGGUAAGCCUAAGUCUUGCUUUCUCAUUUUAUAUAUGCCAACUAGAUUUGUGUAUCAUCGACAUAAUUUAAUAUUUAAUUUGAUAAGUUUGAAUGAAUUACAUGCUAAUUUAAACACACUUUUAUUUACUUUGUCAAUUAAUUAAUUAAUUAAUUAAUACUAUUUGGCUUGGUUUGGACGAAAUUCUCAUGAUGUUUUAAUUUCUUUAAAUUAAUUAAUUAAUUAACUCUGUUUUUAAGUCUUAAGUCUGGGCGUGUUUGCAGAAUUUGAUUCCUUUAACGACUUAGAAGUGUUGGAUAUGAGAUACAAUGAAAUCGACAAUCUUGUGGUUCCUCAAGGUAAACAAUUAAAAGGUACAGAUGUGGCCAAAUUUAUAAAUAAAUUGUUAAUUAAUUAAUUUUUUCGUAUUAUUAAUAAAGCUAAAUUCGUUGCUCCUUCCUUCUAAUUCUAAACAGAGUUGCACAAUUUCACCAACUUGGAAUAUUUGACAUUGGAAUCUUCCUCUCUCCAUAUAAGCCUUCUGCAAAGCAUUGCAUCAAUAUUCCCUUCGUUAAAAAAUCUGUCGAUGUCUUUUUGUGAAGUCAAUGGUGUCGUACGCGGUCAAGGUAAAAGAAAAGCGUUGAUUGUGAACUCACUCAAUGGUGUCCUACGUGUUCAACAUUUUUAUUUAUUUUAUUGUUUAAUGUUUCUGCUAGGUUUUCCUCAUUUCAAGAGUUUGGAACAUUUUGACAUGAGGUUCGCGCGCAUUGCGCUCAACACCAGCUUUCUUCAAAUCAUCGGUGAAUCGACGCCAUCUCUUAAGUACUUAUCACUGUCAGAUUUUACUCUCAGCACUAACAGCAGCAGGAUUCUUGAUCGAGGUUAAUCAGAUGCUCCCACCCUCCCUUCUUAAUCUAUAAUAUUAAUUUUCAAUUAAAUAUUUAAUUACACAAAUGAAUUAUAAAAGAACAAUACGCAUUCAUUAAUUUUUAUAUUGUAUUAAUAAUUGAUGAAUUUAAUAAAUUUUCAGGCCUCUGUUCAUUGGUGCAUCUGCAAGAGUUGUACAUUGAUAAUAAUGAUUUAAGAGGUAGCUUGCCUUGGUGCUUGGCAAAUAUGACAUCCCUCCGAAUAUUAGAUGUUUCUUCCAAUCAACUUACUGGAAGCAUCUCCUCAUCUCCCCUCGUUCAUUUGACAUCCAUUGAAGAGCUGAGGCUUUCAGACAAUCACUUUCGGAUCCCAAUUUCACUUGAACCACUUUUCAAUCACUCAAGACUCAAGAUUUUCUAUGCUUACAACAACGAAAUAAAUGCAGAAAUAACUGAGUCACAUUCUUUGACCGCCCCAAACUUCCAAUUACAAUCUCUCUCAUUGACUUCCGGUUAUGGAGAUGGUGUCACAUUCCCCAAAUUCCUUUACCAUCAACAUGACCUGGAGGAUGUUCGUCUCUCAAACAUAAAGAUGAAUGGAGAAUUUCCAAAUUGGUUGUUGGAAAACAACACAAACUUAGAAUAUAUUUUUUUGGUUAAUGAUUCUCUUGCAGGACCUUUCCGGUUGCCAAUUCAUUCACACAAGCGGUUAAGACUGUUGGAUAUAUCCAACAACAACAUCAGAGGCCACAUUCCAGUAGAAAUUGGAGAUGUUUUACCGGGUUUAUUUUCUUUAAACAUUGCCAUGAAUGCUUUAGACGGUUGCAUUCCCUCUUCAUUUGGUAAUAUGAAAUUCCUCCAAUUUCUGGACUUAUCCAACAACCAAUUGACUGGUGAAAUCCCUAAGCACUUGGCCGUGGGUUGCGUCAACUUAGAGUCUCUUGCGUUGUCAAACAACAGCUUAGAAGGUCAUAUGUUCUCCAGAAACUUCAACCUGACAAACUUGAAAUGGUUACAAUUGGAAAGCAAUCACUUCGUAGGAGAGAUCCCACAAAGUUUGUCUAAAUGCUCCUCACUAGAAGGAUUGUAUCUUAACAAUAAUAGUCUUUCGGGUAAGAUUCCACGAUGGUUGGGUAAUCUCACAUGGUUACAAUAUAUUAUAAUGCCCAAUAAUCAUCUUGAAGGUCCUAUUCCAGUGGAGUUUUGUCAGCUUGAAUCGCUUCAGAUUUUGGACAUUUCAGACAACAACAUAUCUGGAAGUUUACCAUCUUGUUUCCAUCCUCUCUCUAUCAAACAAGUUCAUCUUUCAAAAAAUAUGUUACACGGACAGCUAAAAAGAGGUACAUUCUUUAAUUGCUCUUCCCUUGUGACAUUAGAUCUUAGUUAUAACUGCUUGAAUGGCAGCAUUCCGGAUUGGGUUGAUGGGCUUUCUCGGUUAAGCCACCUUAUCUUGGCUCACAAUAAUCUUGAAGGUGAAGUGCCAGUUCAAUUGUGCAAAUUGAACCAACUACAAUUGUUAGAUCUUUCUAAUAAUAAUCUUCAUGGUCUUAUUCCUCCUUGCUUUGAUAACACCACACUUCAUGAAAGUUACAACAAUAGUUCUAGUCCUGAUGAGCAAUUUGAAAUAUUUGUUUUCAUCGAAGGCCCUCAGGGAGGUGUAGAAAAGAAAAUCCAUGAAAUUUUUGAGUUCACAACAAAGAACAUUGCGUACAUUUACCAAGGAAAAGUGCUUAGCCUCCUAUCAGGACUUGAUCUUUCUUGCAACAAGCUAAUCGAUCAUAUUCCUCCUCAAAUUGGAAAUUUGACAAGGAUUCAAGCAUUGAAUCUAUCGCACAACAACUUGACAGGAUCGAUCCCAUCAACAUUUUCAAACUUGAAGCAUGUCGAAAGUUUGGAUCUUUCCUACAACAAAUUGAAUGGGAAAAUCCCUCAUCAGCUUGUGGAGUUAAAUACAUUAGCUGUUUUCAGUGUGGCAUACAAUAACUUAUCAGGCGAAAUUCCAGAACGGAAAGCACAAUUUGCAACCUUCAACGAGCGUAGCUAUGAGGGAAAUACUUUUCUUUGUGGACUGCCAUUGCCCAUUUGCAGAUCACCAGCAACUACGCCGGAGGGUUCAAUUGGCAAUGAACGAGAUGAUAAUUUAAUUGACAUGGACAGUUUCUUUAUCACAUUUACAACAUCGUACGUAAUUGUGAUAUUCGGAAUUAUUAUUGUUUUAUAUGUAAAUUCUUAUUGGCGACGUAGAUGGUUUUACUUUGUUGAAAUGUGGAUAACUUCAUGUUAUUAUUUUAUUGUAGACAAUCUUAUUACAACAAGAUAUUGUCAUUGAAAUUAAUUAGCAAUUUAAUUACGAUUCUUUAAAUUCUAAUCAAGUUUGCUUAGGAAAUAAAUUUAUUUUUAUUUUUUAUUAAAAUUGUAGUAGUAUUUAGCGCUAUAUAGCUUCCAACUUCCAAGCACUUCACAUUUGACUCUACACUUCCAAACCCAUAUCUAUCCACCAUAACUUAUACUUCCCUAUACUGUGCAGCAUACUUAAAUAAGAGAACCAUCUCCAAUGUUAAAACCAGCCACUCUAUAACAUUCAUUUAGAAUAGUUUUAUUAUCAUACACAAGAAAUGAAACACCUAGAUGCACUUGAUCGCCUAUUUUACUUUAAAAAAUAAUGAUUAUGGGCUAUCAUCAUCUUCUUCACUAGCAACAUUAACACCAAAUCCAGCGAUGGACCCAGACAUUUUAUCAAGAAAGGUAUAUAUAUAAUAAAGUUGAAGCUUGACAAAAAAUUCAGGAAGAUUAAUGCCUCGCCACAACAAGGGGCACAACAACAUCAAAGUAGAGAUGAAGCAAUAUUUUCAAAUCUAAAACUCUCAAAUCCACCCACCAAAAUUUCAUAUCUCCUCAACAAUUUUAAGAACUAAAGAUAAUUAGGAUCUAACAUUAGUUUUUUAUAUAUUAGUUUCAUAAUUUACAAAUCAAUGAAGAUGAAGAUUAUGCUAAUGAAUUCAAAUUAUACCAUAGAUUCUCGAGAUGUUACCAAAAAUUUCUAAGCCAAUCCCACAUAUUUCAUAAUUUUAAGACUAGAAAAUUUCAUUAGUUAGAAGUUUCAUUACCUUCAAGUGGAAGAUGAAGAACAUUAUACAAUUGAUUCAGAUUAUAUCAUACAUACUCCAAAUGCAACUAGAAAUUAACAAGUUCAUGCGCACAGAUUUCAUAACAUUAUGAUUGGAAAGUUUCACAAAGAGAAAUUCUAAAUUCAAUCUCUUGCAUCAAGGUAGUUUGAUUGAUUUGAGUUACUUUCUCAUCAAGCUACUAAUAUAACAUUCAAGUCAGGGAGAAAGUUAAUUAAAACUGGGAAGAAACAACAGUAAAAAUUUGUUGCUAAACAUGAUGUGUAUUUUUUUUUAAGGCAAUUUGGAAACACAGUUGUUACUACAGAUAUUCUCCUCAACUUAGAGAUAAAUACAAAUAUUAAAAUGCAUAUGAUCGCACAUAUUACUUGGAGCUUAGUAAGAUUUCAUUAAGAGAAGCAAUCAAACCACUUAUCAAUUGUUGCAAUCGUUCUAUAAGCUAAAAUAGCAAUAUAAUACAAGAAAAAGAACAUAUAGAUACUUGGCAAGAGUUCAUUAAGAAGUCGCAUCACAUUCGGGUGAGUUUGCUUCUGAUAUCUUGCUAGCUGGGGCUUUUUCUUGUCUUUCUACGCAUGCCGAGGGAAACCAACCAGCUUGGCCCUUGCAUUCACCUUCCGACCAUCCAGUAGGAGCCACCUUGAGAAGUUAUAACUAAAAGUCUAAAACAAUGAAUUAAACAAAAGUUGACCGUUCAAAGACCUAAGGGGAAAACUAAUUCUUUUACGUAGGAGGAGUGAAUUAGUUGUGAUCACUGAAAUAACAGCAUAACUAUGGAAGCAUAACAAGAUAUAAAUUCACACGUCUAUAAGGGUAAACUGGGUGGUUUAGAACUGAGCUAGCAACCCUACUAUAUUCUGAUUUGCACAUCAAUGUAAAAGGGAAUAUAUGGUAGGAAGAAAGAAAACCAACCAUCAGUUGUUAACUCAUUGCUUUUCAAUCAAAAUUUUAAGAACAAAAUGCCAUGUGCUUUGAACAUCAAAUAAGUAUAAGCAUUAGUUCUAAAUUCCACAUAUCAUAAGUUAGAAGGACAAGUCAAUAGCAUAGUAGAAAAAUCUAUGUGUUGUUAUUUAGAGGGGAAAGUACCUGGCGAACCACAACAUAAUCAUCAAUUGAAAGACUUAGCUCUCCAUUUGCUUGAGCAUCAAAUGGAUGUAUAACCUGCAAGAUAAUGGGAUAAAUAGAACUUAAUCUUAAAAAAAGCAUAACAAAAGCAGCAACAGUAGCAGCAGCGUUCAUUGUAACCACUAUGAUCAUGGCCAACAAAGAUAUAUUAGAAACAAAAUUCCAUUUUUACUACGACAUUAAUAUGUACUAUAUGAUAUCAUGACGAUUGGGUUACCAAGAGCUAUCAAAGUCCAAUAAAUUCUGUAUAACUUUAGGUAGUUAUUCAAAUUAUGGAUCAGAUUUUAAAUCCGAAAUUUUGACUGCUCUCCACAAAACAUGGCCUAUGCACAAGAAAGUCAUAGAUAAUGAGGAUUACAAGUGUCUGACAUCUUUUGAGUGAUGGAUUUAACAUGAGAGCUUAUGGUCAGUCAAUUUCCUCUGCCUAGCAAUAUAAGCUUUCUCGGCCAGAUUUAUCAUCAAAUACAUAGAUUGGCCCCAAGUCACAUCCAUAUAAACAUAGUUUUUCUAGGUAAACCAAGUAAGGAGAAUCAUAAUUCAGACAUAAUCAUAAAAAGGCCCAUCUAACUUAAGAGAAAAUCUCAAAAAGAGGGAUGUUGAGCUAUCAGUCUUGUAUCUAUAAGCAAUAUCAAGACUUUACAUCACCUACUACAUCGUGAGUGGCUACACAACUUUCAGUGGUUUGUCUUUCUUUGGCAUGCCUAACUCAGCUUUGAUGUUGCUGAGAUAUUGAUAGUAAAGACACAUGAUACUUCUAGCCCAUGCAUUCUAUCUAGCUCAUCCGACAACUAUCUCUUUUUUAAUUCAUUAGUGUUUGCUAAACCUCAUGCUUAAAAGUCCUAUUCUCCUAAACAAAGCUUCCUAAGAAUGACUUCCUCAGCACCACAUUUGGACACUUUUAGAGCAAUUUUAUUUGGGGGAAAAGAAUUUUCAAGGUGUUAACUAAUAAAUUUUAAAAAAUAAUUACAAUUUGUCCCACAAUUAUAUGACAAUUUAUCUGGGAUGAAAGGAUACAGACAGACAUCUUCCACUUUCAAGACUAAUCACUACUUCUGUAGAUGUUUUGCAAUAAUACAAAUACUUGACCAGAUGGUAGAAAAAAAUUUUAUUGCUCCAAAAUUAAAAUAAGAAUGCAAUAUGUUAAGCAAAAGACUGUGCAACAUCAAAUUAAUUGAUAAGUUUGUAAUUCAGUAAAUUAACAACUUUCAUGGUAAAAUACAACAAAUUUCUUUUCAAAAAAAUUUAAAAAAUAAUUAAAAGACAGCAUUCAAUUUUUUGCGCAUCUUAUUUCUUAAGAUUUUCCAGGAGGAGGGCACUAGAGGGACUUUCACCUAUGCAAGAGAGCAGAAGCCUUACUUUCGCUAUAAAGUAGACGUCAUUCUGAUUAAUAUGCGUUUGCAAAUCAGCUCCAUUUGAAUCAGUAUUCUGAUAGACACAUGAGGCAUUUACAUCCAUUUCCAAAGUCACAUGUUGCGAGGAGGACUCAUUUGAUUGCUCCUCUAGGAUCAUCUAAUUCAAGUAGCAAGGGUUGGAAGAGAAUAAAAAGUCACAAUUAUUCUUUUGCAUAAGUGAGACGAAAAUGAUAAAUGCAAUAUUAUCAGCAGUAAACAAGAAGAGAACACUCCAAGGAAUAGAUAGAUGCGGACAAGCAAGUUAAAAUGCACAGUUCCAAACCUCCGCAUACAACUUCUCUAAAAUAGCAAUAACGUGUUGAUGAUAUGUUUUCUCAGCAUCUACCUGCAAAGGCCUGAGACCAGGAAAACAACAAUAAAACCACUAGCUAAAGGAGAAAGUAAAGAAAGAAAUACACUUGACAUAAAUCUUGACAAGAAGCACAAUUUAAGACAUAACAAACCCCAAUCAGAUUGUUUAGAACUACCAUUCGUUAUUUCGUUAUUGUAGCAUUUCGAACAAGUGUUGACUUAAUUCAACAUUGUUGGAAAGAUAGGCUUUUAGAAGCGGAAGAAAGCCACUCAAACCAAAGUGAUUGUCCUUGUAUUGAUCAAGGGAUGUAAACAUAUUACAUUUGCAGGAUGAGUUUUAAUCACUCCCCUGAUUUAUUUGGGUUGCAGUAAAACUAAGCGAGCAACUGUUUGACUUUCAAGCAACAUCUAAAUCAGCUAUUAAAAUUCAAAUAAAAUUAUAAUAGAAUAAUAACAGGCCAUCUUGCAUAAAAAAUUAAGUUUAAUUUGUGAAUUUUUUUCUAUAGACAUGUUAGUUCCUGCUAUUGAAAUGUUAAAAGCAUUGAAAAAUUAUUCAAUAAAUUAUGCAAACAUUAAAAUAGAGGACAUAUUAAAAAGUUUCUAAUUACAAUGUUAAGAUUUCCUAUAUUUUAGCAUUUGCAUAUUUUAAUUUAUUUAAAAGUUACGUCAAUCAACUUUGGGCGUGAAGAUUUUAGCUUCUAGGAGACUUGAUUGGAAUAUGCAUAAGGAAGAGUGUUAAAAUAUGAUGCAUCCAACGAAAGACAAACCACGUGUAGUCUUUUAAUUAAGCCAAAGUAGCAGCUCAAACAAAUGACACUUGGACCAACAUGCAAUCAUGAAGUGGCCGGAAAAAGGACAAAUGCAACUUUGGCUUAAAUAAAAAAUAACAUGUGACUUGACUUUUGCUGGACAUGCAUCAUGUUAUUACAAGACAACAGAAAUCAGUAUGAUAGUACUAAAAGUUGACAAUAACAUGAAGAUAAGAGGCAGAAUGUCAACACCUGCAUAGGCACACACAAGAAAGUAUUAACAUAUAUACCAUAGCAAAAAGUCUUUGAUAUGUCAUCUGUUGCUGCUGUGAUUCAACUGACAGCAUGGCAGCUGUCGCUUCUCUACCAAGAGCCAUUAUUGUAGAUUUAAGCUCGGUCAAUCUUGCUUCUGCAUUUCGAAGCUUCACAGCACUCUCUGCUGAUAUAUCAGAUUUCCUUAUCUUUGAUCGGUGCCUAAAUACUUCAGCUGCCUGGUGAAAAUAUUCAAUAUAAAUCUAACAUAAUUCUCAUCUUGCCUUAUACAUGCAUAUGUUACCUCAAAGCUUGCCUGGGCUUCAACUUCAUGUCGAAGUUUGUCAUAACGAUGAGUCAGGUGUCGAGCAUCUUCCAAAGGUGCUCCGUUGAUUAACGCCCGUAGUGGCUCAUAUACCUACAUGUCCAAAAACCUGUAACAUAGUUAGAAAAAUGAAAAGAAAGAGCGAAACCUCAAUUAAAAAGUUCCUCCAACAUAAUCAUGGAAUUUGGGCCUACUUCAAGGAUAUAUAUAAGGAUAAUUUAUGCAAUUUUGGGUCUUAGGAUGAUUCAUAUUAGGUUAGUGUUCUUCUCUUCUGUAUUUAAGGUUAAAAUAGAAAUAAACCUAUGCAAAUAUCUAAAUUAGGGCUGUAAGACUUCCACAUGCAUCCUUCAGUCUCAUGGAUUUGAUUUUACUAUAGAUGCAAGUGUCUUUAUCGAAAAUGCUUGGAGUCAAUUGAGAGAACUCACAGCCAAUAACUUGUCACAUGCUAGUCUUUGCUAGUGAUGCAAGAAGUCACAAGGUCUCUUCAACAUUUGAACCAAUAAAAUUAUUAAGUCAUGGAUGUCACUAGCAAUGAUUUCAAUAUAAAACAUUAAAUAUUUCAAGUUGUAACUUUAAAAUGAAUUCUUUUAUUCAAUAUCUUAGAACUAAGUUUCCUUAUGAGAAGAUAAUAGUUUCAGUAGUAAUUUACAUGAAAUUUUCUAUAUUUGAAUUAUUUUCUAGUUAGGGAUGAACUAACCUGAUCAUGAAGAAUCCCAAGCAAAGUUUCCCUCUCAUUUUCCAUCAAAUCAUGUGAAGUGCCAAAUUGAAGAGCAGCUCUUGCAGCGCAAGAAUUGUCACUUUGAUUCUCCGCUCCAUACUUGCAACAAUCUUCAGCCAACUUUCUUGCUACAAUAUUUGAAUACAAAAAUAUUGUACACAAGAACCAGUCAAGAAAAUAAAAAAAAAAUCAAAUAUUAUAACGAGAGCAAGAGCAAACAAACAACCUAUUUCCAUUUGUUUCAAGCUUACUGCAACAAACCCUUCAACGCCACGGACAAUAUUCCUCUGAAAAUGCUGUGCUACAGAGCAUAUAUUCCAAAUUAUUGUUCAGAUAAAACCAUAGAAACCAUCAUAAUUAUCAACAUACAUUAAGCUCCGUUUGGUAAAUACUUGCAACUUCAGUCUAGAAAAUACAGUUGUUUGUACCAUAUUUGACAAAAUUAUUAUUUAAAAAUCAUAACUAAUUACCAAAAGCCACAAUAAAUCAAUAUCAAACAGAGUCUUAUUAUUAGCUAAAGGAGGAUGGUGCCUUAGCUGCCCUGGUGGAAUUGUAUAGAUUUUAAAGUUGUUGGUGACACUCAAUUUCAGCUUCAUGAACCGCAAUAUUUUCAAUACCAAGAUGGAGCAGAUGCUUCAAUACUGCCUGUACAAAUCAUAAAAAACUAAUAAAAAUAAAUAAAAUCGAGAAAUUUCACUAACUAAAAGUCUAAAUAUAAUUUUUGAAAAAAGAAAAGAAACGGACUUGCUGCUGCUUGGCGACUUGUUCUCGGAGCUUGAUUGCCUGUUUCUUGAUAGCUUCCAUACUGUUUCUUUCAAAAAGCAACGAUGGCUUAGCUCAUGGAGGUGGAAAAAAAAAGUGUGAUCGAGAAAAAUAAAAAGGCAUGAAUAAUUUUUGACAAAAAGCGAAAAAUAAAAAGGCAUGAAUAAUGAAUAAUUUUUGACAAAAAGCUCUUUCCAGAAAAUAAAAAAAGAAAAAAGAAAAAAGAAAAUUAUAAGUUUGAAAGGAGUAGAUGAUAGUGGAAGUGUGCGGUGUGGCUGCCAGCUACUUGGAUUGUAUUGUCGGGUAAGGUAAUAGCAGAGAAUUUUUUUUUUUGAAGAAAAAUGGGUAAUUUUUAAAAACCUCCGCUGAGGUUUGGGCUUGUUGUAAGUAGAUGGCGAGAAUCCAUUUAUUUGUAAAAAACCCCCUACGUUUUUGCUCCGCUUGGUUGCCGUUUGGGCAAUUGUGGGCAUUGUUGACAUUUCGCAAUAAAACAAAUCUUUUGCAACUUUCGUUUCCUUGAGAACAAUAGCUAGAUUUCUCAAUCUGUUUCAUCCAACACUUCAAAAAUUUCAACUUUUAUGAGUUAUUGCAUUCUCUGGCAAAGUAGACUUCUUCUAAUUUUAUCACAGUGCUUUCAGGAACAAGAAUGGGAUGCAUUAACAUCCCCUCAAAUUUUACAGCUUCCUUACAGCUAUACACUGCUGUAACACGAAGUUUAAUGAUUCCAUCGCCAAAUAGUCCCCAAAAUCUAUUCUUCCCCAUAUUGAACAACUUAAGUUCACAACACUUGCAUUCUAAAGGCUUCCCACUAACAUCUAAUAUCUCAAGACUCAACGUUGCUUUACAAUAAUUGUUAUUACUACCAAACAAACAUGAAGAAACCCCGAUUAUCGGAUAAAUCAACCCAAAAUGAACAAGAGAAGAACCCAAAACAAGUGAAUCGCUAGAGCAAAACCCCCAACCCAUAUCCCUAAUCCCACACUCAAAAAAACCCAAUUUCUCUCCAAAGUCAUUGACACUAGCAUCACUACUAGACUCUAAUUCCAAUCCUAGAUUACAUUUAAUGUUAACCCAACUAAAAUGAAUGUUCUUACUACAAUACGCAUCGUUUACACUCUCAAACAACGCGCUGAACUUACUCUUAAACGAUCCCACAUUGGUCAAACACUCAUCACUCACAUCGACAUCCAAGAAUUCACUCAAAAACUUCAUAGACUCGACAAUUGGAGAAAACAAAACCACUAAACUCAACUUUAUACAAGCAUACCCAUCGAGAAUCUUACCGUCAUUAACCGAAUCACAACAAAUGACCGGGUCCCACGCGCAGUCGUGAACGAGCUUACGCAUGGACGGGGCAACAUUUAACCCCCGCGGCAAAAACGACGAAGCUUUGGAAAAAUUGUGUUUUAGAGCUGGGUUGAGGAGUAGAGAUUGGAGAGAUUGGAAGGUGGAAUCGGGACGGUCAAAGGAUAGAGAGAUAGAAGGGAAGGGGAUCUUUAAAAGAGAAGUGGGGAGAGGGAGGAGAAGAAGGAUUUGAAAGAGAAAAGAGAGGAACGGAGAGGCGGGAAUGAGAUUAAGGUUUUCACUGCAACUAAAAGAGUAAUCAUGUAUGGCUCUUGGUCUUGGAGAUGAAGGAGAGGAUUCAGGUCGAUUAAGAGGACUAUACGCUGCAUUUUGGUGUAGUCUGCCGCCAUUGGUAGAAGUUUCGAAGUGGGUUUCUGUUUAGAUCCGAGUUUGACGAAGAAACGUGGUGGUUGCGCUUGGGACAAUAUUGUUUUUGCACUGGUCAUUGUAAAAAUUAAAUGACGGUAGGGAGUUUUUUUAUAAAUAAAUGAAUUCUCGUCAUUUAUAACAAGUCGAAACCUCAAAAAAGAUUUUAAAAAUUAGCCGAAGAUUCGAAAAAUAGUAGAGAAUUUUUUAAAAAGCUAGAACAGAGCAUGUUAGACUUUUGUGGACCAAAUUCAAAAGCCGAAGGGCACGGCCCAAAAGCUUUUGAAUACAAUAACUUACUAGAAAGCUCUAUUUUUUGUUGGCUACAGUAAAAGUAUGUUGUUUUAUGCUUCUUAUAUGUUACGCUUGCAUCAGCCUCAAUCACUUCUUAAUCGCUUGCUUUAACUGCAUCGCUCUCUGUGUACUCUUCUACACAUGUAAUGGUUAUGCGGUUGUAGUUCACGGCUGAGGCUACGUGUUGGUUUGACGCGACAGUUACGUUACGACAUUACGAGUCUGCUAAACAUUCGGUGAUAGAGCAUUAUUAGUUAUUUUAAGGGGACAAAUAAGAUUGGUUGCAAUAAACCCACUAAUAUUAUAAAAUUCGAGUAAUAUAGAAUAAAAUAAAAAAAUAAAUACAAAAUUGGCUUUUAUUUUUUAUGGUUGACUGUAUUUUGUGUUCUCUUCCGGCACUACUACAAUUGUUCCCUAUAUAUCAUCAAUACAAGAAAUGAAAUCUAAUGUCACCUAUUUAGUUAAAGAAUUACUCAUGAAAAAAUUUUACCAUUUUACUUUUUUACUUUGAGGAUCCAUAUUUUGAACUGCAAGCUAAUGUUCAUCAAGAAUCACUAAUGUUCAUAAAAAACAAGUAGAAAAACUAUUUUUGGACAAAUUAUUUUUGUUGAUAAAAGAAUUUCUUAAGGGACUACUAAUAUUAUGAAUAACAUUAUGAAUAACAAUGUAGAACACACCCACAUAUCAUCGACACAAUUGACUUUAAGGAUCCAUGCUUUGAAUUGCCACCUAAUGUUCAUCAAGAACAGAGUAUGCCUUGUGAGUAGAAAAUUUUAUGAUUUUGGUCCGAAAUAAAAAGAAAUUAAAUUAGAUGAGAAUCUGCCACUUUCUCAUAAAGAAAGGCAUACGGAGCAUACCAUGGUACCAUACAAUACAAAGAGUCUUUAUUCUCUGGUUUUUCAAACUCUGAAGGGGCCAAUAUUCCCGAAUUCCCCCUUGAAAAUUCUGAUUACGACAUUAUUCAAUUCUUGACACAAUCAAAGUAGCGAGAAAGUUAAGAAAAAUAUGAGUCCUAAGUAAUGGCUAGGUAGGGUUCUUGAGAGCAAAAUUGUCCUAAGCAUUAUAUGCAUACAUGGUGUGGUACAUAGAGCACGUUGAAUUCCACACUAUAACACAAACCCAGAAAGACAAGUAAUAACUCAACUGAUAUAAAGACAAAAAGAAGAUAAAAUGAUAUAGAAAAAAGAAUUUCAAAGAGACAGCAACAUACGAUAGACUGAAGCCACUUGAUCUGCUCACUGAUUGCAGCCUUAAACUUACAAAUAGUUACUGUACGCUAGUGCUCUAAGAAGUGAAAAUGAUAAGAGACCUAAUUUCCUUUUGACUUCCAUUUACUGUCAAACAUUCUAGUAAUACAAAAAAUUGUUUAGAUAUCUUGCUAUAAAUAUAGUCGUUUGACUGUCAUAAUAAAGUCACAAAUAACCAUUCAUAUUGAUCCACUGUCACACAGCAUGCUUUAUGCAUACAACAUCUGCAUGUAUACCAACUCCUAACCUUAUCAAUACAUUUGGCAAAAACUUAAGAAGAAAACUAUUUCUCCAUCUCUUUUUUGAAAUUUCACAAUAAACCAGCACAUUGUGAAAGCUAUGUUCUAAUCUUAUGAUAAAUGCUCUAGACUCCAAAAGGAUUUUAUUUAUGAGAGUUUGUUGCAGCAGAUAUAUUGACUUAUCAAGUAUGAAUCAUUGUCUGGAUGAACUAUCUUUAAAUAAAAGAAUAUUAGAACCACUGUAGAAUAUCUUUACGCUGCUGGUUCUAACAGGAAUCUGCAUGUGGCAACAAUUGCUAGAUCCACAAUUCCCCAACUUGAAAUACAUAGUUGCACACCGUGAGAUAGUGCUGCAAUCUACUGAGAUCUAACUUAUUUGAUACUUUAAGCUACUAAUGUUUGCAUAUUUCUACAUGUUAAAUUGACACUACCAUCUAUAAUCACCCCAAAACGACAAAUGAUAAGCAGCUUUUGGCCACUUAUUACUAGCAUCCACAACACAAUUAUAAAUAAGAGAUCAUGGGUUUACUUGUUGCAACUACUUAAUGAUCUGCAUUUGAGACCCUGACGCAAGGUUUAAAUAGUGACUGCUUAGAACCCUUGUAGUUGGAUCUUGACCUCUCCCAUUGUAGCCAAGAUUGGCUACUCUGGUAAUGAAUCAACACUCUCCUGCUUAUUUUUUUGUUUUUAAAAAAUAACGAAAUCAUAAAAUAAAUAAACACGUGUUUGGUUUUGGGCAUUUUCUUUUGUUCAUUUAAUAUCAUCUGGCUCCCUGAUUUUUUACUAAUUAACAACGGAAUCCUGUUAGUUUCUAAAUUGAAAUAAUAAAAGGUCACGAGAUUAUUUACUCCAUUUAGCACUGUAGACUUAGAGUAUAUUGAAAAAGCUUUGUCAAAUAGUAGUAAUAGGGGCAUAAUAAAUAAGUUUUUCAGAAUUUACAUAAUGUACUUGGCUCUAGGAAGAUUGCCCUCUUAUCACUCAAGUUAGGUUUUGCCUUAGAGUUGAGGUAAAUCAUUAAAAUAAAUUAUAGCUAUUACAAAUUCGUUAGGAGAAUUUCAAUUUUUUUUCCAUUAAAUGGCUAUGACGCAAAAUUACCUCAGCUUAUAUUGCAACACUAAUACUUCAAAUCCUAACAAUAAAAUUGAUGACAAUGGUUUUUAUGUAUAGUAAUUUUCACUCUUUUGUUUGAUCUAAAAGUAGUUCUUAAAAUGACAAUGAUGACUUAUUUAGAAGAAAUGGCAAACUUAUAGUUUGUAAUAUUGUUUGCACAAACAAUAAAGACUAAUUUGAUAAUAAUGAAGUGUUAAUUACUAUUUAACAUUUUUAAUUAAUUUUUAAAUUUAAAAAAAAUGAAGGCCGAAACUUGUGCAUUAAAUUUUAAUUAAAAGUUGAUUGCUUCGAAGGUUUGAUCGUGACAAAUUGACAAUUGAAAAAAGAAGUAGGGAAUAUAUAUUCUGAUGAAAGGGACAAGAUUAAGCAAGGGGACAAUAUUGUCUAUUGGACCUACAAAUGGGGGCAAAGAUCUAUAUAUUCCAAAAUCUCUUAUUUGUGGAUUGGCCACCACGUGUAACUAAUAUAAAAAGAGAAAAUUUGGCAUGGUUUUAACCGAUAUAAGGGUCCGUUUGGGAUUGAGGUGUUGUAGCUUUUAAGCUAUAGCUGUUGUGGAAAAAAAACUGUAAGUAUUAAAUAAAAGUUAAUAAUAUAUAGUAAAUAUAAAUUUUAAAUAAUAAUUUUGAUGAAAUUAUUAAAGAUAUAAUAGAUUUUCUAUUAUACAAAUGAAAAUUCAUAUCAACAUAGCUUAAAAGUUACAGCAGUUAGUGUUUACCAAACACUUUAGUGCUGUAGCUUUUAAACUACAGCUGCCCAACCUCAAUCUCAAACGCACCCUAAGAAGAGAAAAUUUUGAGUGUAUAAGAAGAGAAAAUUUUGAGUGCACAACAAGAACAAAGCAAAACCCAUGAAAAUUCACCUUUCAUGUGGGUUGGAUUGGAUAAAAUCAAUAUCUUGAAUCAAACAAAAUGUUUGGUACUUGAAGUUUUUUUUAACAUUUUCAUUUUUUUUCCAUUUAUGAAGUCCAGUUUUUUUUUAAUUUUUAUUUUUUUGAAUGAUUUUGAAGGUGUUGAUAUAAGGUCAUCGAAGGUUUGUGAACUUGGGGUGUUGAAUUAUAAGGCGAAGCGUGUGUUUUAUCCAUUUGAAGCAAGUAAAUUUCGCUGUCGGUAUGAUUACUAUUGGGCUUCUAUCUUCAAGGUAUUCAUACAUUUUCCCCUGUACUAUAAGCUUCUUAGUGGCGGUCUUGUGAGCGGAAGUGAGCGGUGUGGCUGACAGCUUCUUGAAAAUUAUAAGUUUGAACAGAGCAUGUUAGACUUUUGUUGACCAAAUUCGAAAGCCAAAUGGCACAGCUCAGAAGCUUUUGAAUUGAAUAACUUACUAGAAAGCUCCAAUUUUUUGUUGGCUACAGUAAAAAGAGGUUGUUUUAUUCUUCUUAUACUUUACGCUUGCAUCAGCUUAAAUCACUUCUUAAACGCUUUGCUUUAACUCCACCGCUUCGUACUGUUCUAUAUAUGUAUCGGGUAUGCGGUUGUAGUUCACUGCUGAGACUACGUGUUUGUUUAACGUGGAAGUUACGUUACGAGUCUGUUAAAACAUUCGGUGAUUAAAGUAUUAUCAGUUAUUUCAAAGGGACAAAUAAGAUUAGCUACAACACACACUAGUUUUAUAAAAUUCGAAUGAGAUGGAAUAAAAUAAAUAAGUAAAUUGACUUUUAAUUUAGUGUUUGAAUAUAUUUUGUAUUCUCUUUGGGCACUGCUGUAAUUGUUCCUUAUCACACCCAUAUGUUAUAGACACAAGAAAUGAAAUUUAAGAUCACCAGUUUAAUUAAAGAAUCACUCAUGAAAAAAUUUUGCCAUUUUGAUUUGAGGAUCCACAUUUUGAACAACCAACUUAUGUUCAUUAAGAACAAAGCAUUGCCUGUGAGUAGAAAAAUGAUUUUUGAACAAAUUAUUUUUUGUUUAUAGAAGAAUUUCUCAAGGGACUAUUAAAAUUACUAAUAAAAAUGUCAGACACACCCAUGUACCAUCGACAAAAUUAACUAUGAGGAUCCAUGUUUUGAACUGCCACCGAAUGUUCAUCAAGAACAUAGUAUAACUUGUGACAAGAAAUUUUUUUGAUUUUGGCCUGGAACAAAAUGAAAUUAAAUUGAAGGAGAAUCUACUACUUUCUCAUUAAGAAAGGCAGACGGGGCAUACCAUGGUACCAUACAAUACAAAAAGUUUCUGUUCUCUGGCUUUUCAAACUCUGAAGGGGGUAAUAUUCCCCAAUUCCCUUGUGAAAAUUCUGAUUACGACAUUAUUCAUCGCUUGAUACAUAAGUAAAAGUAGUGAUAAAAUUAGAAAAAAUAUGACUUAUAAGUAAUUACUAGGCAGGGCUCUUGAGAGCAACAUUGUGCUAGGCUUUAUAUGCAUACAUUGUGUGGUACAUUCUACACUAUAACACAAACCCAGAAAGACAAGUAAUAUCUCAACUUAUAUAAAGACAAAAAGAAGAUAAAACGAUACAGAACAAAGAAUUUCAAAGAGACAGCAACAUACAAUAGACUGAAGCCAGUUGAUCUGCUCGUUGAUUGCAGCCUUAAACUUGCAAAUGUUUACUGUAGCCUGGUGCUCUAAGAAGUGAAAGUGAUGCAAACCUUGAUUCCCUGUUUACUUCCAUUUACUGUCAAACAUUCUAUUCAUACGAAAAAAAUUGUUUAGAUAUCUUGCCGUAAAUAUAGCCAUUUGAUUGUCUUAAUAAAGCCACACACAACCAUUCAUAUUGAUCCACAUUGCCAUAUAGCCUGAUUUAAGCAUACAACAGCUGAAUGCAUACUGACUCCUAACCUUAUCAAUACAUUGGAGACAACUUAAGAAUAAAACGAUUUCUCCAUCUCUUUUUUUGAAAUUUCACAAGAAAACAGCACAACGUAAGAGCUGCAAUGAAAAUGGACCGUCAGGAACUAUGGCGGAAGCUUCAACUAGUGUAGUGAUUUGACCUUCUUAUUAACUUAGCGAUAUCAAGCACUGCCCUUCAUCUUGAACAGAUCAAUACAAUACGCACAACUUAUGAUUGAAUCCAGAAACAAUCAAAUCUUUAGCAAGAAAAAUUAAUCAGAAUCAAGAAACAAGUUCAAUGAAUAUAAACCUAUAAUUGGAACAAACACAGCCAAAGAACCCAAGAAUGACACAACCUACACCACGGGAGAAGCUUUCCAGUGAGAUUUUAUUGAUGAUCAAAGAAGAAUCUUUUUACAAAGCUAACAAAAGAGAUUUCAGAGAAUAAGCUAUGACUCUCUCUCUUCAAUCUCUCUCUCUUCAAUCUCUCUCUAGUUUAUUCACAGUGAUGACCCCAAUCUGCUUCGUUAGCCAGCUUCAUAACUGCGUCAGUGACAAACUAGCAAACCCAGAUUGAGCAGAUUACCGACACGUGGAUAACGGCUAUUAAGAACUUGGUUAAAGAACUGCUCACAUAUUCGUCACGCGUGUUACUUAAAUGAUGGCCAAAACGACUUCAACCAGAUGCCGUUUUGAAGCUUGUGAAUUAUAAUUGAAAACACGUGCUUGUCUCGUGACACUUAAAUACAACAACAAGCCCAAAACACUGCUGUUAUCCACCUCUCCAGCUAGUGUGCUUAUUGAGUCCCAGUAGUUGAUAUUCCAAAACAGGGUGUUCAAAUACAAAUUCCAAUCCACUUCACCUAAAUUUAAUACAAGCCAUCUUGAAGGCUCUAACUUGGGAAGGGACACAAGUCCCAUAACCACAAAAGGAAGGAGUGAGAAAAUCCCUAAAAGAACAGCAGCCCAUCCCACAAUGGUUAGACCCCUAUAGUUCAUGAAAGUGAGAACAAAAGUCAAAGCUAACACCGCAAAGGCUCUAGGUAACCCAUCGCCCAAAGCAGGGAUACCAGACUUAAAGUAGUCAAGAAACAGAACUGGGUAUAAAGCAUUAUCAAUAACCCCACUUAGCCAUUUCAUCCAAACUUGCUGAAAACCUCAAUAUGGGCCUAAGGCAGAUGAAACCCAACCCACAUAACCACAAUUUCAGGAAACACGGUACCCAUCUCGGCAGUAAUUNNNNNNNNNNNNNNNNNNNNNNNNNNNNNNNNNNNNNNNNNNNNNNNNNNNNNNNNNNNNNNNNNNNNNNNNNNNNNNNNNNNNNNNNNNNNNNNNNNNNAAACACCAAGAAACCAAGAAGUGCUAAAAGAGGACCAGCUGCCUUUACACUAUCCUCAACACCAAACGGCCCCCCAGAAACCUCAUAGAAUAUAAGGAAAAUAAGUGGCAAGAUUGAUACUUUUUUAGUGCCAUGGACUCCAGGAGAAGAUGGUUGGUCAUUGAUAUUAACAUAUUCAACAGCAUCAGACUGCCCCAUUUCUACUGAAACUUGCCUAUUUACAGUGUUCAUCAAUUUCUGCAUCAAGUUUUAGCAUAACUAUCAAAAGGGUAUCCGCAUGUAAAUUAUGAAACAAAAUGAGCAUUUACUUAUUAAAAAAAAAUAAAAAACAGAAAUGGAUUUCACAGAACACAUGAACUUAAGUUCAACAUUAAACAGGCGCUUAAGAAAACAAAAGGGUCUGUUCGUAAAGCCAUCAGAUUGCAAGAUUGAACAACAUUAACGGAAUCAAUAGAAUAGAUGUAAAGAGAUCUGAAAAGAAAAUAAAAUAAAAGAUGAAGAGAGAUAAAACGAACCAUCAAAUAAGUGCAUGCAGAGCAGAGAGGCAGAUGCUAGAGGAGCUCCGUCAUGUUAGAGAGAGCCUAAAUCAAUCAGAGCUCACUGAGUUUCUUUUCAACCGACCGGCAAAUUUGGAGUGGCACAACAUAAUAUUUUUGCUUUUAAUUUUUGGAACACUUUUGAAUGGAAUUUUAAAAAAAAAAAAAGGUAAGGGAGAUUUGUAUUUAUUUAGCCUUAUAUUUUUUAAAAUAUUUUUAAAAUAUUUUUAUUAAUAUUUUUAUUAUAUUUUUUAAAUUUUUAAAUUUAUUUUUAUAAUAUUAUUUUUUUAUAAUAAUUUUUUAUUUAGAUAUUAAUAAAAAAAAUUAAAUUAACAAUUUAAUCCCAAAAUAAAUAAACACGUGUUUGGUUUUGGGCUUUUUCUUUUGUUCGUUUAAUAUCAUCUGGCUCCCUGAUUUGUGACUAAUUAUCAACGGAAUCCCGUUGGUUUCUAAAUUGAAAUAAUAGAAGGUCAUGAGACUAUUUACUCCAUUGAGCACUGCAGACUUAGAGUAUAUUGAAAAAGCUUUGUCAAAUAGUAGUAAUACGGGCAUAAGAAAUAAAUUAUAACUAUCACAAAUUCGUCAGGAGAAUUUCAAUUUUUUCCAUCAAUAAUGGCUAUGAAGAAAAAUUACCUUAGGUUAUAUUGCAACACUAAUACUUCAAAUCCUGAUAAUAAAUUUGAUGACAGUCGUUUUUAUAUAUAGUAAUUUUCGCUCCUUUAUUUAGUUUAAAAGUUGUUCUUAAAAUGACAACGAUGACUUAUUUAGAAGAAAUGGUAAACUUAUAACUUGUAAUAUUAUUUGCACAAACAAUAAUAAUGAAGUGUUAAUUACUACUUAACAUUUUUAAUUAAUUUCUAAAUUUAAAAAAAAUAUGAAAGUUGAUUGCUUCGAAGGUUGGAUCGUGACAAAUUGACAUUUGAAAAGAGAAGUAGGGAAUGUAUAUUCUGAUGAAAGGGACAAGAUUAAGUAAGGGGACAAUAUUCUCUAUUGGACCUACAAAUGGGGGGAAAGAUAUAUAUAUAUUUUAAAAAAAAAUUCUUAUUUGUGGAUUGGGCACCACGUGUAACUAAUAUAAAAGGAGAAAAUUUAGCAUGGUUUUAACAGAUAUAAGAAGAGAAAAUUAACUGUUCAAACAAAUUAGAAGCAAAUUCUUUCAUAUCUUUCUUUUAUUUUUCCGCUUACUUUCUUAGCAUCCAAACAAGUUAAAGUUAAAACGCUGUUGAGCCAACAAUAUGCAGGCAUCAAUAAGCAUAGUAGUUUUGUAUAUGUAUUCUAUUCGAUAUUCUGGGGAUGUCAAUUGUAGAACAUUUUGUGGUAACUUUUUUACAUUAAUUAAUGUUUGAAGAACUUGUUAAAAAGAAAAUGGUAAUUUUAUCAUUUUGAAAGACCAAAAAAAAAAAAAAGAGUGAAAGUGGCGUUACCUCAUGGUCAUUAGAGACUUGUUGCAAUGAUAGAUCAAAAUUAAAAAUUUGUGAAGAAUUAGUAGACAACGACAAUACUAUAUUUAUACAGUCACCAACGUGUUGAUUUUUGUUUAAUGUUUGAUCGAUAGAAACUUUCGUCGUCGUCGCCGUUGUUGAAUUCAUGCUUAGAAUACCACAAGAGAAGAAGAAGGGAGGAAAGGGAAAAGAAGAAGAGAGAAGUGGUGGAUAGCAAAUAUGAUAUGCUAGCUACACACAGGCCUUAGAGAGUUUUUUUUUUUUAAUAUUUAUUGUAUUUUUGUUUUUGUUAUUGGUUUGUCAUAUGCUUCCAAUGCAACAAUGCGUUACAUCAUAAAUUGCACCUUUUAGGGGAGGUGGUAAAAAACAUGAGAGCAAUGCAUUCUAGCGCAUACAUGCAGAAAGAGUUUCCAAAUUUUCAAAAGUUUCUUUAUUUCUUCCACCUUUUUUUUUGCUUAAAAUAAAUUUUAAUUGUAUUUUGCAUUAACUUAGAGAAAAAAAAAAACCAGUUCUAUACAUAAACGCGUACAUUGAUUAGAAAAUGAGUUUUAUGGACACAAAGGGACAAUAUAAGAGAUUCUUUUUGUUUAUUAGAAGUAACAUAACUAGUUAGUGUAACAUGUAAUUAUAAGCUACCAAGAAUUUGCACUGAUGGUAAUUAACAGUACAGAUUUUGAGCUAUGAAUGUCUUGUGGCUAGUUUAAUUGGAUUUUCGAGUUUUCAGCAAACCUAUUUUAAUGAUUAUUAAAUUAUUUUCACUUCUUAUGCCUUAAUAAAAAAAUUCAAUAUUUUUUGCUGUAUUCUAUAUUUUAAAACUUAAUUUUUAAUUCUUUAUAUUGCAAACCAAACUGAGUCAAACAGAGUAUGCUCUUCAAAGAAUUUUUUCCACUGCCUUCAAGAAGAAUUCAUUUUGUUUCUAUAUAUUAAUUUAACACUUGUAAACCGGGCCGUCGGAUUGCACAUAAAGCAAAUGAUCAAACCGUUACAAGACCGGCCCAGGCCCACCGACUCUAUUUUCUUUCAUUUGACCAUAAAAAAGCUUUUGGCCACCCCCACCAAAAAAAUAAGCUCUUGUUCUCUUUUGUUCCCUCUCAAAGGAAAAUAUCUGAUCACCGGAUAAUGAUUCCGGUGACACAAAAGAUCGAAACACCCCCCUAAAUUCCCUAAAUUUACGAUAAUACCCCACCAUGGAUGAUUCCGUUGAAAUGCCGCCUUACGAUGAAAGGCCUAAAAAGGAUUUUAACUUCACCUCCAUGCGCUUGAUCUUAACCCUCGUUUUCCAAAUUUUAACUUGCUUUUUGUUGGCAUUUUUUAUUGGAAUCGUAGCUGUUUUAUUCGGCGAAUCAUCAGUUUCCAGUUCCAUUUUUGUCCCUUCCCAGUGCAAGAUAGUGUCCAGCAGUAAGCUUUUUUUAACAUUUUCAAUUUUUUUUCCAUUUAUGAAGUCCAAAAUUUUUUUUAAUUUUGAUUUUUUUGAAUGAUUUUGCAGGUGUUGAUAUAAGGUCAUCAAAGGUUUGUGAACUUGGGGUGUUGAAUUAUAAGGCGAACCGUGCCUUUUAUCCAUUUGAAGCAAGUAAAUUUCGCUGUGGUAUGAUUACUAUUGGGCUUCUAUCUUCAAGGUAUUCAUACAUUUUCUCAACUUUAAUUACUUACCUGUACUAUAAGCUUCUUAGUGGCGGUCUUGUGAGCGGAAGUGAGCAGUGUGGCUGACAGCUUCUUGAAAAUAUAAGUUUGAACAGAGCAUGUUAGACUUUUGUUGACCAAAUUCAAAAGCCAAAUGGCACAGCUCAGAAGCUUUUGAAUUGAAUAACUUACUAGAAAGCUCCAAUUUUUUGUUGGCUACAGUAAAAGGAUGUUGUUUUAUUCUUCUUAUACUUUACGCUUGCAUCAGCUUAAAUCACUUCUUAAACGCUUUGCUUUAACUCCACCACUUCGUACUGUUCUAUAUAUGUAUCGGGUAUGCGGUUGUAGUUCACUGCUGAGACUACGUGUUUGUUUGACGUGGAAGUUACGUUACGAGUCUGUUAAAACAUUCGGUGAUUAAAGUAUUAUCAGUUAUUUCAAAGGGACAAACAAGAUUAGCUACAACACACACUAGUUUUAUAAAAUUCGAAUGAGAUGGAAUAAAAUAAAUAAGUAAAUUGACUUUUAAUUUUAGUGCUUGAAUAUAUUUUGUAUUCUCUUUGAGCACUACUGUAAUUGUUCCUUAAAUGCCAGUCACACCCAUAUGUUAUAGACACAAGAAAUGAAAUUUAAGAUCACAUGUUUAAUUAAAGAAUCACUCAUGAAAAAAAUUUGCCAUUUUGAUUUGAGGAUCCACAUUUUGAACAACCAACUUAUGUUCAUCAAGAACAAAGCAUUGCCUGUGAGUAGAAAAAUGAUUUUUGAACAAAUUAUUUUUUGUUAAUAGAAGAAUUUCUCAAGGGACUAUUAAAAUUACUAAUAAAAAUAUCAGACACACCCAUGUACCACCGACAAAAUUAACUAUGAGGAUCCAUGUUUUGAACUGCCACCGAAUGUUCAUCAAGAACAUAGUAUAACUUGUGAGAAGAAAAUUUUCUGAUUUUGGCCUGGAACAAAAAGAAAUUAAAUUGAAGGAGAAUUUGCUACCUUCUCAUUAAGAAAGGCAGACGGGGCAUACUAUGGUACCAUACAAUACAAAAAGUUUCUGUUCUCUGGCUUUUCAAACUUUGAAGGGGGCAAUAUUCCCCAAUUCCCUUGUGAAAAUUCUGAUUACGACAUUAUUCAUCGCUUGAUACAUAAGUAAAAGUAGUGAUAAAAUUAGAAAAAAUAUGACUCAUAAGUAAUUACUAGGCAGGACUCUUGAGAGCAACAUUGUCCUAGGCUUUAUAUGCAUACAUUGUGUGGUACAUUCUACACUAUAACACAAACCCAGAAAGACAAGUAAUAUCUCAACUGAUAUAAAGACAAAAAGAAGAUAAAAUGAUAUAGAACAAAGAAUUUCUAAGAGACAGCAACAUACAUAGACUGAAGCUAGUUGAUCUGCUCAUUGAUUGCAGCCUUAAACUUGCAAAUGUUUACUGUAGCCUGGUGCUCUAAGAAGUGAAAGUGAUGCAAACCUUGAUUCCCUGUUUACUUCCAUUUACUGUCAAACAUUCUAUUCAUAAGAAAAAAAAUGUUUAGAUAUCUUGCCGUAAAUAUAGCCAUUUGAUUGUCUUAAUAAAGCCACACACAACCAUUCAUAUUGAUCCACAUUGCCACAUAGCCUGAUUUAUGCAUACAACAGCUGAAUGUAUACUGACUCCUAACCUUAUCAAUACAUUGGCGACAACUUAAGAAGAAAACUAUUUCUCCAUCUCUUUUUUGAAAUUUCACAAUAAAACAGCACAAUGUAAGAGCUGCAAUGAAAAUGGACCGUCUGGAACUAUGGCGGAAGCUUCAACUAGUGUAGUGAAUAUAAACCUAUAAUUGGAACAAACACAGCCACAGAACCCAAGAAUGACACACCCUACACCGCGGGAGAAGCUUUCCAGUGAGAUUUUAUUGAUGAUCAAAGAAGAAUCUUUUUACAAAGCUAACAAAAGAGAUUUCAGAGAAUAAGCUAUGACUCUCUCUCUUCAAUCUCUCUCUAGUUUGUUCACAGUGAUGACCCCAAUCUGCUUCGUUAGCCAGCUUCACAACUGCGUCAGUGACAAACUAGCAAACCCAGAUUGAGCAGAUUACCGACACGUGGAUAACGGCUUUUAAGAACUUGGUUAAAGAACUGCUCACAUAUUCGUCACGGGUGUUACUUAAAUGAUGGCCAAAACGACUUCAACCAGAUGCCGUUUUGAAGCUUGUGAAUUAUAAUUGAAAACACGUGCUUGUAUCGUGACACUUAAAUGCAACAACAAGCCCAAAACACUGCCGUUUCACUUUGUUGAGUUUGCCAUCUCUAAGCUUCACAACUAGCAACGGAGAAGAUGAUAAUUAAAUUGACAUGGAGAGUUUUUAUAUCACUUUUACAACAUUCUAUAUAAUUGUGAUAUUGGGAAUCGUCGAUGUUGUAUAUGUGAACUCUCGUUGGUGACACUGGUGGUUUUAUUUUUGUUGAAAUAUGGAUGACAUUUCGUUACUAUUUUAUUGUACACAACAUUUUGUUACUAUUAACAUGUUAGUUUCAUUAGCCACUAGGCCUUUGGCUGAGUCGUUCGGGUGUCUGCCCUCCAACUUGGAGGGCAGCAGUUUGAACCCCCACAAGCGCAAUGUGGGGUAUUUCCUUCUUUAAUCCCUCGAAUAUUAGUGAAGGUUAAAAUCUAGGCAGAACUCCAUAAGUAUUGAUGUAAGUUGGUUUCAGUAAUAGUCUAAUUUGUAAAUAUCAGUUAUAAUCUCAUAUAAGAUGAGUUGUAAUUUAAGCAAUAGUCUCAUAGAAUAAUAAUAAUAAUAAACAUGUUAGCUUCAUUACAUUUUUCUUCGUUAAAAUUCUCAAGUAUUAGUCAGGUUUGCUAAAGUAAUAAAAUUUUGCCAUUAAAAUUGUAGUAGUAUUUCUGAGCACCUCACAUUUUCAAUGAUUUUUCAUAAAUCAAUUAAUCUGUCGUACCGAUAUCAGGUUUAGUUUUUCAUACUAAACAAUCAAGAAAGCAAACAUACGAAUUCACAGUUUAGAGGGGUAAACUAGGUAGGUGGUUUAGAUUUUAGAACUAGGCUAGCUACCCCACUAAAUUCCAAUUUGUACAGUGAACUACAAGAAAUUGAGAAAACAGUGUAUUUAUAGUUUAAUUGAAUCGUGAGAAAGCAAUGUAGUCAUAGCUCAAUCUGAGAUGAUCACGGAGAGUCGGAGAGGCAUAUUCUUUUCAAGUUAAUUUGAUCAAUUUAUAAGAGAUGAAGUGGAUUGAAGUUAAAAGUUUAAAUAACAAAUCCUCGUUCUUGAGUUUUACGACGUCGUUACUCCUUCAAGAGGCAGAUUAUUUAUGCAAGUGAAUGCAGAAACGCAAUGCAUCAUCCACGGGGAUGGUACAUCAAAAGGCGGGAUCAUAGUCUAUGCCCGCAGAUUAACAAUUUCGCUCAUAUAGAAAAUUAAUUUUUUAUAUAUACUAAUCAACACUAAAUUGAUUAUGUUUUGUAUGUUUAUAUGCGAAUCAACACUAAAUUAUAUUAAAUGAAGAAAUAAUUCAAUUUUUUCUAAUUUAAUUUAGAAAAUAAAAUUAUUAACAUUAAUAUUCCCAACAAAAAUUAUUUUCCAUUAGUAUUCAAAGCUUCACUUAUGGAAAAUGUGUUUUACAUGAAUAUUAGUUACCGUGUAAAUUUGAAUGAUAGUGAAAAAUAAUUUUUUAAUUAUUGUAAAAAUAAUUAACCAUAUCAAAUCCCUUACGUAAAUAAUUUUUAUUUUGAAAGAUGGUUAAUGCACAAGCAAAUUUUAAGCCCCUCUCUUCUUGGCCUAAGAUUCAAACUCAGAUGACUAGUUAAAUAAACCUAUGUGAAAAUCAUUCGGCCAGGUCCGCGGGGCAAAAAUACAAGAUCCUUAAUUUCAUAAUAUAUAUGAAUUAAUGUCAUUUACUUGAAUUAUCCAAAUUCAUCAGAGGUUAACGAGUUUUCCUGACAUGUAGCAGAUGAAGUUGUUGCUUCCUUCUUGGCAUUAUUUCAGCUCUGGUUGUUGGUCCCGAUGAGCUUUGGUCUUAUUUUAAUUUUAUUUAAACUCAUCAUAAGAUUCGUGGAGCAGCUAACUGACUUAACUGACUGUGCAGAAAUGUCACAUAGCAUAUUUAACCGUUUUAACAGUAAUUUUGAACGGUCUUCGCAGUUAUCAUCUACAAACUCGUUCGUGUUGGUCCACUAGGUGAAGUUUUUGAAAUAAUAAUAAGCUCCCAUUCUUGAUUUUAAAAAAUGUGCUUAUAAUAAUUUUAGAAUAAUGGCUUAUUUAUAGAACAACUUAUGAUUUCCCAUUAGCAUUAUUAUUGAAGUGGGGUGGAUAACGGUUCACUCAAUUCGUCGGGAAUCAAAAAUUACCAUCCAAGGCAGAAUUGUGGAAAAUUAAAGCGAAAUGAGAAAUAUGGAAAUGAAGGAAGAAAGUUAAGGCAUGAAAGACUUCCAGUUGAAAUUGAUAAUCAUGUUUCUCUUUGGUAACUAAUCAAAUGGGAAACUGAACCAUAAACAGACAUUAAAACGUGUGGACUCCGCUAGCUGCCUUACAAGCCUACAAUAAUAACUGAGUACCUUUGAUUCAUCCUUCUAUGAAUUUCUAGCCGUAUUGACUCCACCGAAAUUUCCACAAAAAAAAAAAAAAAAAGAAUUUCCACAAAAUGCAAAACGCAUGGAACUUAAUUUUUGGCCCUGUGAUCACUAAGAUACAAUCCUUCUAGUGAAGAGCAAUCAGGCAAAUUUUUUUAGAUCUCUCCGACAAAGUGAUUACCAUCUAAUCGCAAUAUUGAAUAAAAAUAAAAUUUUUAAUGGGAGUUUGACCUUAAAUUUAGAAAAUGAAUUUUAACUUUCUUCAAUUAUUAAACAGAUUACAGACAUUUGAGGAAUUUGAAAACACUUUAUCCAUCGAAAGUUAAAAUUAGAGAUGGAAGCUAGGUGCUACAGCUAAUGGGAUCAUUAAUUCCCCUCCCUCAAAUGUGUAGUUGUUCCUCUUUCCACAGCAUAAGCCUUAUAGUUAGAGUUUCUUUUAAAAAAAAUGUUAAACAAUUUCGGUUGAGCAUGGUUUUGGUAGUUGAAUAGACACCUCCGCAGUACCUCAAACAAAACUGUCAUUAUUCGUGUCAUGAAACAUGUUUCGGCCGUCAAAGUCAUGAGUAGGAGUGUGCAUGGGUUGGUUUGGGUUACAUUUUAAGUCAAUUCAAAGCAAACCAUAAAAAUUUGGGUUCAAUCCAAACCAACCUAAAUAUUUUUAACCCAACCCAAACCAACCUAUUUGGGUUUGGUUUGAAUUUUAUAAUUAAAAUAUUUUUUAUUUUAAUAAAUUUAACUAUAUCAAAUUAUAAUAAUUAUUAAAUUAAUAUUAAAAUACGAAAAAAUGUAGUGGAUAAAAAUUAUGAAUAAUGGAUUUUACAAUAACUUUGUUCUUAAAUAUUAACCAUAUUACAACAUAAAUUCUAACAAUGUCAAUACAAAUUAAAGUAAGAUAAGAUAUCUCAACUCAAGUAUCAAAGCAAUCCAUCAAAAUUAAAUUAUUUAAUUUUAUAAAUUAAAAUCAUCUGAGAAAUAAAUCUAAAAUUUAUUGUAAUUAGAAAAGCGCCAAAAUUUUAAACACAGUAAGAAAAAUUAGAUAUGAAAUCUAAUUAGGUUUAAAUUUAAUUAAAAAAUAAUAAUAGAAUCAUAUUUUAUUUGAUAAAACCUUAAAAUCAAUUGCAUUUUUAAUUUUAGUAAGUUACAAUACAAAUAGGAUUAUAAAAUUAUAUUACAGGAUUUCAUAAAAAUAUUGUUUGAGUAAUUUAUUAAAGGACUCACCUACGUUGCCACAGUUGUAGCUUACCACGCUUUUUGUCUUUUUCCAGUAAAAUCGUAGAUGCUUUCAAAUUUAAUCUAACGGCUGCAAUUAAUUAUUAGAUAAUUUAAUCAGCCAUUGGCAACCUUUACAACCGGUUAUAUUCUCUCGUUAGAUUUCUCGGCUACCAAAUAAUCCCCAAGAAAAUGACGAAGUGAGUAACUAAUACGCACACCGCAGAGAAAGAUGACAGGAGAAGAGAUGACGGUAGGCUCACCGGCACAAAGGUUCUUCGAUUGCUCUAUUUCUUCGGCGCUGGAUUUAUCUACACAGCUACAAUCGACAAGUGGCGGGAACUCGAGCGGAAGUCAUUGAAGAAGAAACAGCAAGAGAGCAAUCUAUGGACUGAUGAUAACUCAGCAACUACGGUAAAGAAAGCCAUCAAAUGAUCUUUUUUAUUUGACUUUUGAUGGAUUUUCAAGAGUUUUGGUAAUAAAAUGUCUCUUAGUUUUUCAUUUCAAUGGCCUAUUGUUUGAGUUAUUAUUAUGCAUAAUUGUUGGAAGAGUUAGGGUUUUACUAUUGGAUUUUGGAAUUUGUAUUUUGGCUUUGAUAUGUUAUUGUUGUGAUGUUGGUCAAGAAAUUUUUGACAACACUCUCCUCGAGUUUGAUACUAUAGCUAAUGAAUUUUUACGGCAGAUAUAUUCUUUUCUUUGAAAAAAAAAACACUUUACAACCGGUUAUGCAUUCAUUUAGGAGCUGUUAACUGAGCGUGAGUUCCAUAAUUUUCCAACCAGUGGUUAGGGUUUCACAGAAAAAUGUCGACAUUGAUCUUUAGGCAGCACUUAAGACUGAAAUUGGUUGUAGAGGAUUGAAUUUGGGGGACUAGAAAUUUCUGAUCAUUAAUAAUUGAAAAUGGCCUCUCACUUGUAGGCAGUUGUUGGAUGUAAUGUAUCCAGUUUCUGAAAUCGAAAGCAGAGUGAGUUCUUAGGUUAGAUGUACCUACAUGCAUUAAGGUUCGAAGAUGUAGAAUAGGCCAAUUGUUUGAUGUCAGCUUUGUUGCACAUGUUCUGAAAUUGAUCAUUUAAGAUGGCUUGGAAGCACUCCGUGAUGUGACUAAGAAGAUUCGAGGAAGUAUUAAAUAUGUUGAAAGUUCACAAUUAAUACAAGGAAAGUUCAAUGAGAUCACCUAGCAAGUUGAAAUCAACAGUCAAAAGAGCCUAAAGUGUGAUAUUUUUCUCUUGGAUUGUUUUUUUAUUUUCCAUUUCAAAGCUGAUAGUGUAAAUAUUUUGUUUGCAAAAGUUUCUAAAAAGUACUUGAGUCAAGAUGGUUAGGUAUUUUAUAACUUCCUUUUUACUUUUAACUAGAUUCAUAGAGAGUUAUAACAUUAACAUAAUUUUUUCUUUUAAAAGUGAUCAAUUAGACACUGAUGAGAUAUCUCACUUUUGAAUCAUUUAGCUUUAUGUAAUUUCAUUACUAUUAUAUGCCCCCAGGAAUUGUUGAAGUAUAUAUAUCUUGGCAUUUCUUCACUGACUGAAUUAUCUUUCAUAAUAUUCCAGCUUCAAAUGGGUACACUGCAGAGCCUAUUGGAUGCAGAAUUCCUUCUAGCUCAUAUGUGCUCUGUAAAAUUCAAAGACUGAAUAGUGGUUAUGGCAACUCUUUGUAGAUGAUCUAAGGUAUAAUGCCCAAUUAUUGCUUUUGCUUUAUCUGUUUUACCUUGCAACAUUUUGAAAUUUAUGAGAAGCAUAAAAUUACUGUGCCAAAAUUGAGGAUCUGAACUUUCGUAAAAAUAUUUGUAUUUUUAAAUUAUAAAAUAUUGCAUUUGAUGCUUUAGGUGGAACUUAGUUCACUACAGAAAGGAAAAUUAUGUUGGGCAUAACCAGAUGUUUUUCAAGAGAAAAUUUCACUGAUAUUUUUCUGAGGAUUUUACUUGGCCAUCUUAUUUCAAGCUGCUUGAAUUUUUUCUUUAUAUCAUCUUGGUUGUAUACUAUAACUCAUUGAAUUUGCUAGCACUUUUGCUAGUUGUUUAUUCUAUAUGUGAUUGUGGUGGUAAAGUUUGGAAGCUCAAAAAGUAAUGGAACUUAGGAAGAGUAUGACAUAGAAUGCUGGAUAGAAUCAAAAUAAUCAUUCUUCAGGCAUCCAAAGAUGAUGUAUUCAAAAUAGCUAGUUUUGACUUUUGAGGCCGUAUAAAUAACUAUUAUCUCACAUGGUUACAUUAUGAUAGGUAGGCACUAGCUUAAUAACUCCAAUUAACUUGAAGUUGUUACCUGAUUUAUUAUGACAGUGUGCAUUACGAUAAGUAUCCUUGCAUAUUAAGAUUUUCCUUCCAGAUCUUUGCGGUACUUUUGAUCUUUUCCGACAUGAUAUGCGAUUAUGGGAAGCAUAUGCCAUCACCUUACAGGUAUUCUCUUAAUUUUUAGAUAGUGCUCAAGAUGACAUUCAAGUUGGCUAUUAUUGGGUGCAAGAUUUACCAUGCUCUUAUUUUGCUUUUUUAGUCUAACCCGACAUUUGCUUAAUACCAUGAUCUGCUUCAAGCCUUGGAUGAAAAACUUUCAUUUUUUGUAUAUUCUGCAAUGAGAUGAGGGUAGUUUUUCUGAUGAUAUUUGGCAGUAAAUUGGGACUAACUAAAGUAAUUUUCUUAAUUGCAUGUCUACUUCUCAGAUGAAUGACCGUCUGUUCAGACUCCCAAGUGAUGAAUUAACAACCACCGAUCUAUUCUGGGUGAAGAUGAUGACGUUGACACCAAGCCAGUGGAAUGACUAGGACUUCCCUUUUGUUACAAUAAAUUGCGUUCAUUAGACACACGCAGUUAAUUAGUGUAGAUAAAGGAGGUCUAUGCACUAUAGACUGUUUUGUAUUUCGAGAGUCCUUUUUUUGUUUCUUUCAUUCUCCAUUCUUUUGAAAUUAUGUACAAUGGUUAUAGUCUGUAUUAUUACGGAUUUAUGAUGGGAGUAUCCUAAGUUUAUGGAAUAAUUAUAAAUAAGGACUUUAAAUUUUUGUUGAAAGAAGUUGAGUGAGAGAAAAGAAGCUAAAGCAGUAAGCAUUUGUUAUACUUCAUUCGAUUGUAUCUAAAUUACAAAGGUUGGUGGCCUUAUUUAUAGUGAAGUUCCCACAGGCCACUUGCACUCAAAACAUUCGAAAUAUGCAAACAUAUUGAUAUAUAAACAUACAGAAUUAAUAUUCUGGAUCCUUGUAAGUAAUGCAAAUAAAAGUGAGGUUGGGGCAGACAAUAUUUACAUCAUGUAUUAAUAGAAAUAAAAUCAAUUAUUUCCAAAUAAAGUCACUUAGUUCAAAGCACGGGCUUCGGUUAAGUUGAACAAGCAAGCCAAUUUUUGUUGUUACUUCAUGAUUGUCGUAAGCUGUGGGUAGUGGAUCGUGUUCCCUAUAAAAGACAAACAGAAGCAUGUCUACUAACUUGGUCAUUCCUCCAUGAACUAAACCCUUCUGAGGAUCUUGAAUAGAUUUAUAGAGAUCUCAGAUAAUUUCCUCACGGUGUGCCUGAGUAAAGACAAGUCUUAUGUACUUGAUUACUUCUGGCCAAUCCAUCGAGGCCACCACCUGUCUCAGUCAAUUCAAUCUUUUAAUAGAGUGAAUUACUAGAAUAAAAUUGAUUAAAGUUGAUAUAAAAUCUAAAUUAAAAAAAUCAGAUAAGAGAAUGAUCCAAAAUCCAAAAAAUGAAAUAUUUAAGGAGUGGACUUGUGACCCUCUAUAGAAUCCAUGGAAGAGUAACUAAGGGAAAAACAUUAGAGGUACUUUUGGCGAUACUAUUAGUAUUCUUGUGUUGAUCAUAAUCUUGGGGGUAGAUCUAGACUAAUUAGCUAUUCAUUGAACAUUCCAUUUCUCCACAAUUACAUGCAAAAGUGCACCUUGCAGUUGCAGCCUAGACCAUAGAAAUAUAGAUUUCCAAUUAUCAACACCUAAAGCUACUGUAGUGACUUGCAACCAUGAGAUGAUAUAUAAAUAUGCUGAGAUUCAAAUAUUUGAGAAGUUUAAACAUCCUGAUGAAAAAUAGACUAGUUCACAGCUACUUUGGGGAAAUUGAUUUCUAAUAGCAGUAGAAAAUACAAGUUUUUUUAAACAUCCCUACUCUAGUAAACUCAAUUAACCAAAACAAAACUCAAAGCAUGAAAAAGAGGGAUUUUAACUAACCUAAUCAUUAUCAUUGAUAUUUUAACAUAUUGAUCUUCACAUGGAGUUAACAAACACAAGACUUAGUGCCUAGUACAUAUGUCUGGGGUUGCACAGUCUGUUCGACAAAUUUAUUGAAACUAUAUCCAUGCUCCUUCUUCAAUUUUUUCUCCAAUAAAUAAAUAUCCUCUUGCUUCUUCCAUCCUACUCUAAUUCUUCCUGGAAAGCAUUCUCCCCUUCUCUAAUUCUUCCGAAAAAACAUAACCGACAAUCCUAAACUAAUUACCACCGUUAAAUCUUUCAAACAAAAUUUACAAUUUCUUAUCAGUAGUUUCCUGCCGCAUCCGAUCGAACGGCUCAUCAACGAAUCAAACAGACUUCUUUCCACCCUUUUUCCAUAUAAUUACAUUUGCCUAAUUCCUAAAGUUUCGGCUCCGCCCAAUGUCGGCCGCAAUUGGCUGCCGCAGCGAUAUGUUCAUCUUCAACUUCUCUGCUGCGAUUUCAAAUUUACUUCAGCCUCGUACCACCACACUUCCACUGGCAAUUAAUUUCAUUAUCCGAUUUUACUAUGUGUGGAAUAGAUUUGAGCAAUUUAUGAGUUUUCGCUACGAUUUCGACGAUGUCCUCUCAACACUAAUUUGAUCACCUAAUUUUAACUGUUUUGGGUUAUUUAUUUUUUAUUAUAUUUAUAUACAGUCUCUGCAGGCAACCGACUACUUUACUUAUAUGUGGAACUCAUCUGAGCCAUUAGAUGGAGGCCCUCCAGAUCCUACGGCGAUUAUAUAUGAGGACAAAAAGUGUUGUAUGUUGGAACUGUUGCAACGUAGGAGGAUCCUUUAUUAAAAUGUUAAUUUAGUUUUUUAACUCAAGUUGAGACCGUAAAAAGUUGUUAUAUAAUAGUGUAUUGUAUAACCAAUUACAUAUGUAUUUGACUUGUGCAACACUUCUAUUAUUAUUAUAUAAUAAUAAUUAGUAGUAGUAUAAUUACUAUAUAAUAAUAAUUAUUAGUAGUAUAAUUAUUAUAUAAUAAUAAUUUUAAUAAAAAAUUAUUAUUAAAAUAUUGAUUUAGCCUUUCUUAGUUCCAUAUUUGUUGUUUUGCUAUAAUUUUCCACAAUGACGCAUUAUCAGACUUUCUUAGUUCCGUCAUCUUCUAUUACUCAACUUAACGUCUUAUCAUCUCUAGCUCGUCUUCCAUAGCAUGAAAGUGAAUAAAUUUAACUGAAUGGUUAAUUAAUCAAUUAAGUUUCAUGAGCUUUAAUCGAGUUAAAACCAAGUACAAACAUCGUUAACAAAUACUGAAAUUUAGUAAAUUAAAAAAAUAAAAAACUAAUUCAAGUAAUAUGUAGUUUUUACAUGUUGAUCAUCAGGAUACAACAUUAAAUUUUGUCAUUGACAAUAUUGCAUGCCUGUCAUCUAAAGCAUUACCUCACAAGGUUUUAUGAGAAACGAAAGACUAGUGCUUGCUUUGAACAAUUAAAGUUGCUGCUACCAACCUCCCCAAAGAUCAAGAAGACAGAACAGGAAGCUAAUGCCAUCAAUGUCUUGUUCAUUAUAGCUGUUGGGUAGUUAGGUGUAGUUUCCUCACUUGAAGCUGUCUAUACACAGGCUUUUCCCCUGCAAAUGGACAAAUAAAUGAACAGCCUUGAAGCUUUACUAUUCGCAACACAAAGGGAUUACUAAUUGGAGAAGACUUUACAGAGUUCCUCUCACACUUUCUCUCUCUCAAUUUCAUCUAGAAGUCCCUCCGAAAGCAUCACCCAAAACAGUUAGUCAUCCUUUAUACUCUGUUUUCUGGAAACAGAGUCCUAACUAACUUAACUGACUGUACAGAGCACGUCAACAUAGCAUAUUUAACCAUUUUAACGGUAAUUUGAACCGUCUUCAGAGUUAUCAUCAACAAGCUCAUUCAUAUUUGUCCAAUCUUACGGACGAUAUCAUAUGCUUAACUCGACACAAUCUGGAUUCAACCUCCUCCUAUCCAACAAGGGAUUUCGAUUUGAGUUAAUAAUAAUAAUAACGACAAUAAUAAUAAACUAAAAAACAGAAUUAAUUACUAUUGAAUGGUCGGAAAAAAAAAAAAUUGAAAACGUGUGAACUCCAAUAAUCACCCCACAAAUUCAGUGGCGAAUUUUGGAGAGGGCAAGGCCGGGCUUCUCAGAAAAAAAUUUAUUUAGUUACAAAAUUAUCUUUAUUGAAACCUAUAUAAAUUUUUUUAUAUUAAUUAGUUAUGUUACCUCUUCAAUUAUCAUCAAAUUCUUGUCUGUUCAUCAUUUGGUGAAUAAAUGUGUGUCUAAAUAAUUUCAAAUAACAUUUAGAACAAAUAUUUUGAGAGGUAAAGCUUAUUUUGUCUCGCAUUAUUAGGUGCAUCUAUAAUUUCUUAUUUACAAAAUUAUAUUGUACGAUAAAAAUUUAUUGAAUUAGGGAAAAAAAAAAAGUUCAGCUCACUCAAAAACAAAAAAUGGUAUUAACUUCGCCACCGCACAAAUCUAGAAUAAUAAUUAUUCCUUAUCAUGCUGGGGAUCCUUUAUACUUUCUAGCCGUAUUGACAGCACCAGGUAAAGCUUUGUAAAAUAAUAAGUUACUCAUUAGUGGUUUUUAAUCUUUUUAAUUCUUUUUACCGCACACCUGAUCAAGAAUUUUAUUUUGUUAACUAAUCAAUUGCAAAGCAUAAAUAAGUGUUGAACGGUACACAAGAUUGGAAAAAAAAAUCUUAAAAAACGCGCGGAUUCGGUAGCCACACCAGAAAUCUAUUACAAUAAUUUCUGGCCGUAUUGAAGUUUUUAAAAUAACAAGUUCCCCUUCUCGUUUUUUUUUUAAAUAUAUAAGCUUAUAACAAUUUUAGAAUAAUGACUCAUUUGUAGAAGAAUUUAUGAUUUCAUAUUAAUAUUAAUAUUGAAGUGGGGUGGGUCAAAUCUCAAUUGCUUGAAGAAUUUAUUUAUUAUUAUUAAUAUUAUUAAUAUUGAAGAGGGGUGGGUAACGGACCAGCGGUUCACUCAGUUCGUGGCGAAUUAAAUAUUACCAUCCAAGGUAGAAUUGUGGAAAAUUAAAGCAAAAUGACUAGUAUGGAAAGGAAGGCUGAAAGUAAGGCAUGACGAAAGGCUUUGAGAAGGCUGAAGACUACCAAAGAAGUCAACUGAAAGCUAGCUGGGGCCUGAGUGUAUAAAUUGUUAGAUGCGUUUGUUAUAAAUAACAUAGAGCCCUUUUGUUAUUUAUAGUUAUAGAGAAAGAGAGAAUGUGUGUUUUUUAAUAGUUAGAGAUAUAGCUAGAAUGGGUGGCUCAAAAUCCAAAAUGGUGACAAUGUUAGUUCUCAUAUUAAUAAUAUUAGGAGGGGGGGGGGGGGGGGACUCAGGGGAGGUCGAGUGAGGGAUGUUUGGAGCAUGAGAAAUUUGAUCUUUUGCGGCUUAAACAUUUCUUCAAUUCCCCUUAUACACUUCAAAACUGGGUAGGUGAACAAAGGGAAAGGGUUGAAUGCGGCAACUCCACAUGCCAAGUGGUACAACUACACCUUGGCCUUACUAGGAAUAUCGAUCUGGGAGAGUGGUAUCUGAAUGCUUCUCUAUUUACUUCCUUUCAAUAACUUGGUAACAAAAUAGCCGGCUGCAUGCGUUGAGAAUGAAGGUCCUUCAUUUAAUUUAAUUUACUUAAUUUCUCCCUCCUAAUUAAUGUCUAUAACCAUUAGGAGGAACAAAGGAUUUUAUUAACUCAAAUAUAUCUAAUGGAGCUCAUUCUUUGGUGUCUAAACAUUCACUCACCACUUAUUUCAUGUCUGAUUAUAUGUUGAAAAGAUAUUAAAGUAAUUUAACGCAAUUAAGGCUUAGUAUAUUUUUUAUUAGUAGAGUGUAGAACUUUUAAGAAAUAUAUUAUUAAAUUAUUAUAACUAACAUAUUAUUUUAAAGUUGUGUUAUGAAAAAAAUAAAAUAAAAGGACAAAUAUGUAUUUAUACGAAGCUUGUAAAUUUUUUUGUACUGAUAUUUGAAUAUUAUCAAUUAAAAAAAAUUAGGGUAAUGGUCAUGCUGCAUUAUUUUUGUAGCACACAAAAGGACAACACCGUUUAUGUUAUAAUACUAUCGCUCUGUUAUGAUAAUAUUUUCUUUUGUGGCCAAAUAUCAUUUUUUAAGUAAAAAAAAGUGGACAAAAUGCAAAUCAGUUUUUAAUCCUCAGUCUCUCCCAAAAUUUAAAUUCGUAGUUAACAAAACAAAAUUGUUGGAAAACCAUUAAGCUAGGUCCAUGGGUUGUUAAAACUAUAGCUGACAAAAAGUUACUAACAAAAACAGAAUGUCCAUUUUAUAACUUUCUUAAAAAACAUUCCUUAACUUUUUUAAAAAGUUACCAACAAAAAGUUAUUUCCAAUUUUUAUUUUGUUAUAAUUUUUAUAAUAAAAUUCGUAGUUAACUAAACUCUUCUUAUACCCUUUCUCAACUGCCAUACCCUAACCCUGUUCCCCAUUUCCCCACUAAACCACGCUCAAUUAAGGCCAUCAGAUUCUCCCGGGCCCACAUUAAUCCAACUGCUCACAGAGACCGACAGCCUCUCUAUCUCCAUUUCAAGCUCCCUCUUCAACUGGCUUCUGCUACCGUCCUACUCUUUCUCGGCUUCGGAGUCCGUAUUUUCUCGGCCGGUCCCACGAAGCUCCCUCUCACUCCAAUUGUCGCCCCACAAGACCAAUUGCUUAAUCAAGACACCGAACAAGAAGAGGAUGAGAAGUUGAAACAAGAAUUUGAGAAUUGGAAAUAAAAAACGUACGCAUUGACCGUGCCUUUGAGAGUCGUUUCUCUUCAGAACUCAGUGCCUCAAUCUUGGGUUAAGGAUUUUAUGCGAAGUCAAGGAAAGAGAUUGAAGUUUCAGAUGAAUUUGUGCGCUAGCAUUGAUGGGAUCUUUAACAAUUUAUCUGUGCCCUUUAACAAAGUUAAGGCUAAGUCAGCUUCGUAUAUGGCUGCUGAUUUGGUUAGUGUUGGUGAUUCAUGGCUCAGUUUUGCAAUUAAAAAGAGAUUGAUUGAGCCAAUAGCUGGAGCUGAAGAUCAAGAUUGGUUCAAAUGCUUAUGUCACAAAUGGAAGGUAACAUCUUUAUCUUUGACCCGAUCAUUUUUAUUGUCUUUUUAAUUGCAAUGAGAAGAAAUGCCACUGUAGCAUGCAGUGAUGGCACUUAAUAAGUGAGUUGCUAGGAUGUGAACUAGAAAAAUUAAAUAUUGUCUCCUUGGGUAUGCUAGCUCGUAAGUUAGGGUUAAUAUCAGAGCUUAAGGUACUAUAACCGUGAGAAGCUAUUGACUGCCAAUUAAAAUAUCCAUUAAAAUGUCUAGGGAGUUAUGAAGGUGGAGGUAACUACUAAUAAAAAAUAUCCAGUUAACCUCCUGCUCGAUGCAAUUAAUAAAUUUGGUCAAUGCCACUGAAACCUGCUAACUGACAUCACAAUGCGACAUGAGCACUUCAAAAUGGGACAGACGGUCAGUAGCACUAAAUUUUUCUUGCCUAAGAUUGAGCAAUUGGUCUAACUACUAAUCCCUAUUGUAGGUUGAUCAUUAUUUUUUCAAUUAUGUUCAGUUUGACCCAAAAAGUUGCAGAAUCUUGAGCUGAAUAUUGUCACUGAACACUGUCAAUGUCGUUUAGCAUGGCCAACUAACUUGAGUUUGGUAAAACAAACACACAGUGUGUCUCAUGUCUCACAAAUCAAAUUAUCAUCUGUAAUGAUGGAGAAUUUUUCCAAUGUAUGAAGUAUGCUUUGAUACGUGGGUUACCUUGGAGAAGAUAUCUUAAAAUAAAGAAUAUGGGGAGAAAACAGUUCAGUAGUUUAUUAUUCUGUAGUCAAGUUUUGUCUCGAAAAUGGUCAAAAUUUAAAUGAACAAGGACAGGGGAUCUUCAUUCUUUUUUCCCUUUUUUAUACCAAGAUAUCUCUCAACCUUUAUAUAAUCCCCACUGGAUAUCUGCUUCUAAUAAUUAAAAUAAAAAUUUCACCGCUCUAACAAUAAAAAGUAACAUCUUUAGUCAAAUAAUUUACAGUUCCUCAUCAUCUUAGUGUGAGACUAUCAGUACAUUCCAAAAACAUAAUAAAACUGGUUUGAUCCUGUUUAUUGAUGUUUAAAUGUUGUUCAUUGUGACAUGUAGAAAUGAUGAGGCGAAGUUUAUUUGGACAUCAAUUAGUAAGAUCUUGUUUGAAGUUGUUUUCUGAAAUGAACUGCCGAAUGGUAGUUUUUUGGGGGCAUUUGAUGGCUCUUUUUUUUUCCUCAUUUUCAACAUGUGCCUGCUUGGAACAGGAAGGAUUAGACUGCAGAGUUGUUAUAUAUUUUGAGAUGCUCUGGUCAUUGCACAAUUUGUUCACACUGGAAAUUAGAAUGAGAAAUUUGUUGAUGCUGUUUUGAGAGAUCUGCAUUCUAUGCACAAUAACAUGAUUAAUGAAAAUGCAUUGUAGGACUGGAAAGAUCUGUGGCAGCCUGAGCUCGCAGGAAGAAUUUCAAUGGUUAAUUCUCCCCGACAGGUUAUUGGUUCAGUUUUGAAGUAUAGGGGAGCAUCAUACAAUUCAAACGAUAUUGAUUCGCAAGUUGCUGGUGGGAAGAUUGCUGUUCAGCAGAAUCUAGCAUUACUGGCAAACCAGGUACUCUUACAGAAAUGAUAUCUGGUCAUUGCAUGUUAUUGCCUGACAACUGAUUUUGUUUGUACAAGUCUGCUUCUUCAUACAUAUGAAUGCAUAUGUUAGUGUUUUCUUCUCCUUUUCAUACAUAUAAAUGCAUAUGUUAGUGUUGUCUUUUCCUUUUCAUACAUAUUAAUACAUAUGUUGGUGUUCUCUCCUGAGAUGGAUGCAAUAAAGGCUUUUGCUCCUAAAUUUAGCUGAAGAAAUGGCAAGGGAUGUGAGAUUCUGUUUCAUUAAAUUAACAAAAACCCAAAACAAUGAAAAUCCAUAAUAAUGUGGUGUGGGUAAAUUGGCUCCAUUUGGUUCGUUUCCUUAAUGUGAACGCGCGAGCAAUAGAGACUAACAAAAUGAAGUGACAACAAGAAGUCAGUGUCCUUUGAUGGAUGCAUUUUUAGGCAGAAAUAGGUUUGUAAUUGACCAAAUUUGUCUGGCAUGCCAAUUUAAAAAAAAAUAAAUUAUGUGGUUAUUAGCUGUAAUGAAGGGGGAUAGUAGGUGCAAUCAGGUGGAUCCUGGAAAGUUCAACAAAGUUUUGGUAUGGCGUAGUGAAAUUGGUUUGUGCAACUCAGGAGUCUUUCAGGUGAACGAUGAUAGGUUUUGAUUUAUGAAUAUUAUAAAUCUACUGUGCAUAGUAGAAUCAUCUAUAAGUUCUAGUUAUUGAAAUUGUAUACUUUGCCCGGUUUGAGUUAAGGGCACAUGUAAUAUGAAAGAUAGUUGUCGCAUCUUUUAGGUUACCUAACAUUUGAUCAAUCCUAUUAUGGGGGCUUCAAGAUGUCUAACAAUAUGUAGAAUGCCCGUGCUCCUCCCCAUUGUUUAUCUUAUACAAUAAUUUGUUUUAGAUGCUAAUAUCUUUGUCGAUACCGGUAACAAUAUUACAAUAUCUGCGUUUAUUGGGUUUUACAUAGGUUCGACUGUUUGACAGUACACACUAUCUGAAGGCAUUUGCAAUUGGAGAUGUAUGGGUUGCUGUUGGGUGGAGUAGUGAUGUUCUUCCUGCUGUCAAACGUAUGUCUAAUGUUGCUGUUGUUGUUCCCAAGUCUGGUGCUAGCUGCCUGCCAUUCUACUUCGAUAUUCACAUUGUUAUCUCCUUCAUAUUAGCGAUCAGUAAACACGAUAAUGUGACUAAUAAGUUUGUAUUCUCUUUAUAGGCAAUCCCUGCUGCCUCAAGACUUGAAACAAAACAAAUUGGAGGGCGAGUCAGAGGUCCAUCUCCAUUAAUCCAUCAAUGGAUAGAAUUCUGCUUGCAAACAGCGAGAGCAUUGCCUUUCAAGCAAGAGGUUAUCCCGGGUGCAUCUCCCUCUGCCCUUGAAAGUACUCUGGUUAAGUUGCCUGAAGAACUUCUGAAGGGUAAACCAAGUCUGGAUACUAACUUAAUUGCUGGAGUACUCCCGGCUGAAAUUCUGGCCAGAUGUGAGUUUUUGGAGCCAUUAUCUGAAGCUACUUGGUCAUAUUAUGAGUGGCUGGUUGUUAAUCUGCAAAAAGCUGCUCCUGUCUUGAUGAAAAGGGUGCAACAUUACUUGUCAUCAUUAAUCCAAAGCUUUCUAGCAAGAGCUACAUUGAAAAGUUAAUGGCGCUGCAUGCCAAUCAUUAUAAUGCUGUCAGGGCAAUUGGGUCAGGGCAAUUAGGUCAGAGCAUA
rnacentral:lncRNA from 1 species